UCUUGCCUGGUUGAGAAGAGGACAACAAACAAACUGAUUAUGGGGAGAUUAUGGAAACUAAUUGAGUACACGAACAACAGAUUGCAAAUGCAACAGAACAAAGAAGAGUGGAGUCAAGUACCAAGUAUACCUUGAAAAACAUUCAGAUGCACUGGAGCCGGAGUCUCUGGCACCAUAUCAGUUUCCAUGGAAGGUGAAUUAUGGUAGUACUCUAAAUAGCCAGAUCAGAUACAAGAAGCUUUUCAUGAGAGAGGCUCGUUUUCAGAGUAAAGAACUUGUUAGAGUUGGGGAAAAGGAUAAGUACAUAAUAAAAUUACUUUAAAAUCAAUAGUACCAAAGAAAUGUCUGAAGCAGAUGCAAAAGUGUAUGUUCUACUGUCCCGUAACAUCAACUAGUUGAAAGACCACAAUAUUCUUCCUGCAGGAAGCCACAUAAUGGCAUAAAGACACAUGUGAAAAUAGAAAACGUGGUGACUAAUAAAGUGAUAAAAGAGCCGUGACAGACAUUUCAUCAGGCUGCAUUGUAUCUCGCCAUCAUUCAAACAAUCUGCUAGCCACUCAUCUGAUGACUGAUCCAACCCUCCACAAUUAAAGGCUGACCCAUCAUCUAAAAUAAAGAUGCAGCCUUAAAAUAACUGUAUAGAAAAUUGUAUCAUUUCUUCACACAACAUUAUAUUAGUACAAACCAGAGAAGCCCAAAGUACUGCACUCUAAGCUUUUUGAAACCCCGUCUUCCACCAUUGAACACUCCAUCACCUGUACCAAAAAAACAAACAAGCCAACAAAAGUAAUGAUGCAGUUUACUCAGCAGGGUGACUUCACACAAAUGGACCUUAGAUGUCAAAAAAGCAGAGUUCAUUUGCUCAUUUGCAACCUCAGUACUAUCAGAUGUGAACUGCAGUGUGCGCCUCCUUUUAAGCUGCAGGGGUUCCCUACAUUCCUCUAACCCUUUGGUGGUGGCAUCUAAAAUAAAUGUCCCCCCAGUUAUGAAAAGUUCAAAAAAUCACCAAGUGCCACAGAGAAGCGACCUACCUCUGACAUCAGUAAUUUGGUGGCCCAGAUUUGAACAUUUUUUUAUGGGAGUAUGCUCGUUCAGAUUGCAAAACAAAUGAUCCUCAUUUUGGCUUACUUCAUCCCAGAAUAAGUGAGAGAAUUCUGCGGAAUUAAGAGUCUGUAAGAAACAACUCCUUGACAGGCUCUUCGAGAAUAUAACAAUACCAGAAACAAACCAUUUUGUGAAUGUCUGGGCAGACAGUACUCGACUCCUUGCCAUUCCCAUAUUUCACUGCUACUAAGAACACGGAGAAACAAUAGCAUUACAAGUGAGAAAAAAUAGUCAAAGAAAAUAAAGUUCUUUGAACAAGGUGCAAAGGCAAAUGACAAUGCCAUGAUAUACACUAAUUCCUUUUGUCUCCCAAUAGAAACCUAAUUCCUUUGACGCCCAAGGUUAACUAUGACAGAAAAGGUAUAACACUCAAAUUAUCAUAAGAGUUAAUACAAAUGGGACGAGAUUCAUUAAAUUUGGUGACAAAUUUUAAAGAAAAUUUCCAGCACCCAAAUAUGUAGGGACUAAAUAGUUAUUCAAAACAAAUACAAGAUAUAACUUUAGGAGGAAGAAAAGCGAAUCAGAAUAAGAACAUACUAAUAAUAAGAAUGAAUCAUAAUCCAUUUGUGAACAUCCAAACUUCCCAUACUUGUGAAAAGAUCACUGCAAAAGAUUAUCCUUUUAACAGAGACAAUAUUAGAAGAAAGAACUCAAAGAUCGUCAAAAAAUAAAACAAAAAAGGAAACCCGAAACCUCAAUGAAAUCACCAACGCCCCAAAUCAGACAUCACUUCCCGACGUUCUCAGACUUGAAGUUCCAUCAAACAGUAUCACAUACAAGUUAAUAAAAAACAAAACAAAACAAAAAGGGCAGAAAACCCCACUUGUGACUCAUGCCAUUGCCAUCAUCGAAGUCGAUUAUUCUCCAAUUCCAAGCCUUCAAAAUCCAAAACCAUUCGAAUCCAACGCAGACCACAAUCUAUGCAAAGAAGGAACAAAAAAUAAUCAUCGUACAAAUUGGGCUUGAGUGGGAGUCGCGCCAUGACACUGCCACUCGUCUCCCCUCGCAUCUGUGUCUUUCUGCGACAGUGACUGUUAUUGGACAAGAGAGUAAUGUUAAAAGGGCAAAAAAGAAACACAAACCGUAAGGCUUAGAGUUAGAAUAAUUCGCAUUUAAUGCCAUUUAUUUCCUUGAAAAGCUUUUCCUGGAAGGCAAUAUCGUAAAAUCAAUCAAACGGUUGGGCUUGUAGUAGGUCUGAGUCCGGCACGACCCGGGAUUAGCGAACCGACACUGUUGACCGCCCCACCCUCCCUUGACUCGGAGCUCCUUCGGUUAACAGGUUCUCCGAUCCAAUAAUUUAGCAGCUGCAGUUGAGGUUGAUUCCCACCUAAUUUGAUUGAGCCCGACACCAGUACGAAGAAUAAUUUGAUAAAUAUUGAACAACAAGACAGGAUAGUUGGCUUGAUAUAUAAAAGAUUUUUUUACAAAAAAACUAAUUAGUGGAUGAAGACUGAUUUUUUUUUUUUUUUUAAGUCAAGCUAACUAGCAUCUUCAAAACUACUAAAUUCUUUCUUUUGAUAUGAGUAUCAAGGUACCACCAUAAUGCUGAUCAUAUAUAUAUAUAUAUAUAUAUAUAUAUAUAUAUAUAUAUAUAUAUAUAUAUAUAUAUAUAUAUAUAUAUAUNNNNNNNNNNNNNNNNNNNNNNNNNNNNNNNNNNNNNNNNNNNNNNNNNNNNNNNNNNNNNNNNNNNNNNNNNNNNNNNNNNNNNNNNNNNNNNNNNNNNNNNNNNNNNNNNNNNNNNNNNNNNNNNNNNNNNNNNNNNNNNNNNNNNNNNNNNNNNNNNNNNNNNNNNNNNNNNNNNNNNNNNNNNNNNNNNNNNNNNNNNNNNNNNNNNNNNNNNNNNNNNNNNNNNNNNNNNNNNNNNNNNNNNNNNNNNNNNNNNNNNNNNNNNNNNNNNNNNNNNNNNNNNNNNNNNNNNNNNNNNNNNNNNNNNNNNNNNNNNNNNNNNNNNNNNNNNNNNNNNNNNNNNNNNNNNNNNNNNNNNNNNNNNNNNNNNNNNNNNNNNNNNNNNNNNNNNNNNNNNNNNNNNNNNNNNNNNNNNNNNNNNNNNNNNNNNNNNNNNNNNNNNNNNNNNNNNNNNNNNNNNNNNNNNNNNNNNNNNNNNNNNNNNNNNNNNNNNNNNNNNNNNNNNNNNNNNNNNNNNNNNNNNNNNNNNNNNNNNNNNNNNNNNNNNNNNNNNNNNNNNNNNNNNNNNNNNNNNNNNNNNNNNNNNNNNNNNNNNNNNNNNNNNNNNNNNNNNNNNNNNNNNNNNNNNNNNNNNNNNNNNNNNNNNNNNNNNNNNNNNNNNNNNNNNNNNNNNNNNNNNNNNNNNNNNNNNNNNNNNNNNNNNNNNNNNNNNNNNNNNNNNNNNNNNNNNNNNNNNNNNNNNNNNNNNNNNNNNNNNNNNNNNNNNNNNNNNNNNNNNNNNNNNNNNNNNNNNNNNNNNNNNNNNNNNNNNNNNNNNNNNAUAUAUAUAUAUAUAUAUAUAUAUAUAUAUAUAUAUAUAUAUAUAUAUAUAUAUAUAUAUAUAUAUAUAUAUAUAUAUAUAUAUAUAUAUAUUACUGGAUGUGCCAGCUGCACAAGUUGGAACUUGGAAUUUUUUUUUAAAGAUGAUUAUUUUCCUCUUUGAAGUAAUGUUUACUCUUUCCUUUAUAAAAAAAAGAAAAAGAAAAAAUAAGAUUAUUUUAGCUCCAUGAUGAGAUGCAUACACAGUUGAAGGUUUCCUUUUUACUUUGAGCUCUUCUUUCGAUAUCUUGUUUGCUUUUUUAGCUUUGACCUCGAUUCCUGUUUCAUAAGAAGCUGCAGAGGAAAGAGCCAGAUCCCAUGAAUUAUGUAAUCAUCCUACUUUUUCUAUUUCACGGAUUGGCUGGAUGCAAGUAACGAAAAAAAAAGAAAAAAAAUCUGAUAUGUCCAUGAACGCUUUCCGUAGGUAGAAGUCAAAUUAAGUUUAUAGUUCCCUCUCAAAGGAAGUCAAUUUUCUAUUUGAUUCUCACGCAAACCUUACAGCGUAGCCAUGGAUGAAGUUGACAUUCCCGAGAGAAGCUUUUGGACUAGGCUUUGGUAUACCGACCAGUGUCCCUCCUCUGUUAUGUGGCUCUCUCUCUCUCACUUCUAAACCUUCAUUAUAUGUGAUUGAUUUUCUUUCUGUCAAUUAAUUGUUUCCUUCAUGCACAAGUUGGCGGGCACGGCGGGUGAUGGUGGUGGAAUCAGCUUGUAUCGUUUGCACAACCCCCCACGAUUUGCAUCCACUAGUUUACCUUUUUCGAUAAAUAAAAAAAAAAUGCUUGCACUUGUUUGUUUGUCAUAAAGUUAUAUAGCUAGAAGGAACCUUUUCUUUUUGCCGGUGGCGAUGGCGGUGGCGGCAGUGGAAUCCGAUUGGAACAAGUUGCUUAGACAUGGGUUGACGUCAACUGUUGCUCUGUCCAUAAAUUUUACUUGUUUAAUUCUCAAAGGGCUUAUUUACACUUGCAAAUCCUGUUUUGAAUUAAGAGUACUACUAAGAAAAAAAAAAAAAAGGAGAGUAUUAUUUGAGACACAUCCAAAAUAUUAAUAUUUUUUUAGAGAAAUCGUUCAAUUUAAAAUAUAUAAAAGCAUAAAAUAAAAUACAUUCAUUUCAUUUCUUUAUUUAUAGAUUUUAGGUGCUGCGUUGACGGAAACCUCGUGUUCAUCCUUGUUAAGUUGUGUAAGAAUAUACGACGAACAUAAAUUAAGAAGGGAUGACUGCCAAAAGAAACACUUGCUGGUCUGUGUGCAGCUCUGCCCAACUUGUUAGGUUGGUCAACUGCAAGAUUCAGAAUCCGAUGCAUGGGCUCACCACGUUGGUAACAACGCAACAGAGACGCAGUUCCUUUUCAACGUAUCCGAUUUAGGUCAUGGCCUCGAUCCGAUAGAAAGUCCAACGGUGGUCGGCGUCACCUACGGUGAACACGAUGCUGCCAACCGUUGUAUCUUCGCGGAAGGCCCUUCGAGCGUUUGUCAUCUCAAGCAAGGAGGUGCGCGUAUAUAUAUGUAUAUCUAUAUAUAUAUCUAUCUAUAUCUAGCUGCGGAAUGAGUCCUCAGAGCAUGCGCCAGAAUCCUCCUUCACAGCCCAAAAGCAGGUGAGAGAAGUCCUAACUCUUGUUGAUUAAGCUUGCUUGGGUGUUGAAGUUGGUUUGGAUAUGAAUCAUUCUUGAAUUUAUAUAGUGAUUUCACAUUUAUGUUGAUACCCAGCCACAGUUCCAUGACACUAAAAAGUUUUCUGGUUCAUAUACUUCAGUUUUGUUUCUUUCUUUCAAAUAUACUUCAGUUUUGUUGAAAUUCUAACAAUCCCAACUCAGUCAAACUAUUCAGAAUUAACAUUCUUGAUUGUUUGUUAGAUACAAGUAUAUUUAAUGUUUAGGUUUAUCAUUAAACUUUAAUAUGUAUUUAGGACAUAUAUAUUCCAACCUCUCUUCUCUUUCCAUGUAUUUGAUGGUCCUCCCUUUUCUCUUUUAACUCCUCUACGCAAUCCGAUCUUGGUUCCAAUUCCUCCAUCGUAUCUCCUCUUUCCCAACUCUGGUAAACAAAAUCUCUUCAAUGCCCUACAUCUUUCACUAUAAACUAUAUAUACCUUCUCUCACUCCGAAGGUAUAGGCUUGCAAACACAGAGUGAUGAGUGGAAAUUUGUUUUAACUAAAAAACAGGAGAGAGAGGGAGAGAGAGAGAGAGAGAGAGAGAGAGAGAGAGAGAGAGAUUUUACCUCGAAAGAUUGCAAGAGAGAGAUUUUUACCUCGAAAGAUUGCAUUGACCCCAGUCCCCUUCACCAUAACUCAGCGAUCGGAGAUUUUAAGGGAUAGCUGACUCUUGAUGCUAAGGGGAAGGGUUAGAGGGGCCACUACGUUUCACUCAUUCUAAAUUCAGUUGGGCAAGCAAAACAAAUCCAACUUCGAUACUUGGAAAGAUUCUCUUGCGGCCUUCGCAACAAAAUUCCACUAGUGUGCCUAAGGCUGGUGAAUGCAUCACUGCCUAAAUUCUUUUGGCACACUAUUUGGCCCGAUGACUGUGCUGCUUCAUUUCCCAAUGCAUACUUUUCCUUCGCCGAAUCCACAUAAUGAUGUGUGUUCAUGUGUGGCUUCAUAUAUAUAUAUAUAUAUAUAUAUAUAUAUAUAUAUAUAUAUAUAUAUAUAUAUAUGCUUCUGCUGCUCGCUUGGAAGUGGCAGUACCUACGAAAAGGAGCGCUUCAUCAUUUCCCCUCCCCAUCUGUUCGGCUAACUGUGUAUCUUCAUUAUCACCACGAACUUCUGAUUUCCCUUUUGUCUCAGUUUUCUACUUCAAUUAAAUUUCCUCCUCGUGACUUCGUUUGAAAUCCAUGUCUCAUUCUAAAGAUUCUCUUAUGUGGGUGCUUCUGUUCUCUUCCACAACCCCAUGAAAUUUGUGCUCUCAUGCUCGCAUGUCUUUGUUGGUGUUUUUUAUUUUCUCCUCUUAUUCUGAUCUAGUUAUGGGCUUUAACUUUCUUUUCUCUCUGUUGGCUGUUCUACACAGUUGAGUUUGCAUGUAAAGAAGAUGAAUUCAUCUGAAUCCGUAGGGAUUUCUGACCCUUCUCUAUUUUCUCAAAAUAGGUUCAUUUAUGUAUUUUUGCUAAUGUGAUUUUACUAGAUUAUUUCAUAUGUUCUUCUCUUCAUGAUAAUGAAUGGUAAAAAACCUUAAUUUAAUCCCUAUUACUCCUUGUUGACUGCUUCAAUUUCACUCUGUUAACCUGUACAAAAAAAUCUUGCUUAUAAAAUAUCAGAUUAGGAUAUUAUUUACUUUAUUAUUGGUAUUUAUAUCUCUAAUGACUAUAACUUCUAUUUUAGAGAUUAAUUUUUCAGAUUAUGACAUAAUAAACUAUCUUUGUUAUGGUGUCCAAACUGAUGGUUCUGUUUACUUUUUGGUUUCAAAUCAUGAACAUUAACAUACAUAUUAAUGACAAUGCAGAAUUCCUACAAUGUAUUGAUGCACUUUACAUUCUUUUUCUAUUUUCAAAUUCUUGUAGGUUUCUGUCGGUCUAAUGUCCAUAAAUCAGAAAGUUUGCAAUUGUAACUUCUCCGCUGCAGCUGUUUUCUUUUGUAUAGCAUUAUUUAUUGGAAGCACAUUGAUUACAGUCGAUGUGAAGGAGGUAUGUUUUGUUUUACUAAUUAGGCUGUUCUUAUUCAUCUUUUUCAGAAUAUGCUAAGAAUUGAUCAUUUGAUCGAGAGGGUUGUCAUAGAAUCAUCUCUCUACUCCAUUUCAGAAGAUUUCCUAUGUUGCAAAAAUGAUUCAGAAACACUCAUCUAAAUAUAUUAUCUAAACAUAUACAAUUCCUUUGGAAGUAAUCUUUUCUGCCUUAGUCACCGGUUAAUGGCAUUGCCAGUAGAAAUCUAUUUCCCCGCCUGAGGAUAUCUUGAUUCGUUCCUGAUUACUCCUUUUCAUCUCUAAUAAGCUGUCAAAACAAAUAUGUAAUUCUACUGCAUAGAAGAUUAGAACACUGAAGAAUCAGUAUCCUUACCGCCUGCUACACUAACAAUUUUUUGCUUCAUUUGCAGAAAAUAACGGCAUGGUUGCCAACUGAUUCAUCGCAGAAGUUUCAAUUUGAUUUGAACAAUAACACAGCAAACUCGAAGCCCAAUGAAUCUGACCCAUGCUCGGUAUUUACUUUCUGUCUUCCAUGCUUCUUUCUUGUCAUUGCAAAGCUAGUUCAAGAUCUCUGCAACAUGUUAUAUCUGAGUAAUUUGUUUUAAUCAUCUUGUGCUUUUGUAAGUAACUUUGUUUAUUAUCUUAUUAUCAUUGCCUGUAUGAGUUUAGAAUCAAUGCAGACCUUCAGGAAUUGAAGCAUUGCCUAAAGGAAUGGUUUCCCAAACAUCAGACUUGGAAAGACAGCCAUUAUGGGGUUCUAUAGAGAAAAAGGUGGUUUGAUUUUUCUCAUGAUUCAUUUACAAUUUAGACUAUUAUAAUCAUUAAGAUGUUACUCAUAGUUACCACCCGUAAGGUAAUAUAAUUUCCUGAUUGCUUGUUUAUGUGAAUGCAAUUUGUGUUAUAACCUUCCUUCUACAAACUUUAGGGGCUUAUAGCCUUUCUCUAAUCUUAGUUAAUUCCAGGGAAAUUCAAGUUCGUUCAAGAACUUAUUAGCAAUUGCAGUUGGACUAAAGCAGAAACAAGUUGUCAAUGAAAUUGUCAAGAAGGUAUAUAGAUGUGACUUACUUUAAACUGUAUUCAUUUUGAAGCAUGGUCUGAACAAAACACUUGCAGAUAGUCAAUUGUUUUCUAAUUCUUUUGUGCAUUAUAUCCAGUUCCUUUUCAGUAAUUUUACCAUAAUUCUUUUCCACUAUGAUGGGGUGGUUGAUGAAUGGAGCGACUUAGAAUGGAGUGACACUGUCUUGCAUAUCUCUGCAAUCAAUCAAACAAAAUGGUAAAUUCAGAAAAUGCACAUUCCUUGUCUCAAAGUGUAACUGGGAUUCUAUUCUUGAGAUAAAAUUAUAAGAAGUAUGUGCAUGUGUUGCAGGUGGUUUGCGAAACGUUUCUUACAUCCAGAUAUAGUCGCCUUGUACAGUUAUAUCUUUCUCUGGGACGAGGAUAUUGGAGUUGAAAAUUUUCAUCCUGGAAGGUUGUUAGUUCAUUUUUCUUUCCGUGUUAAAAUUGAAUAUGCAAGAUAUGCUUCCAGAUCUAAGCAACCAAGCUAUGAGAAUGCCUUUGUUUUUGUAUUUAUAUUUCGUUUUCCAUCCAUAAUCUGACUGUUCACCUCAUUUUAAUAUCAAAUUUAGUCUUGCCUUUGUUUAUAUAUAUAUAUAUAUAUAUAUAAAGGGAUGCUAAAAGCUAUACAUCUUCUUGCCUCUAUAAUAAUAGUAUAAAUAUUUGGGUCUAGUGUUCUUUUAAGUAACAAAUCUAAUAGUUGCAGAUACCUGGAGAUUGUUGAAAGGGAAGGAUUAGAUGUAUCACAACCUGGACUUGAUACUGAGAAGUCAAAAGUUCACUACCGAUUUACAGAACGUCAAAGAGAAGGUGAUGUACACAGGUAUUUUCUUGUCUAUUCAAUGAAAGCACUUAUUUAUGUUUCUCUUUAUUUCAUUUCAUAUAGUCUUUUUCAUGGAGGUACACUGUGUGACCAAGUCCCAAUUCUAUUGGUAUUGGUAAUCUUUUGUAUAAAAUUAAUUUGUUCUUUCAACAGAAGGAUUUAUGAUUUGGCACAAGGCUUGAGAUGUAAUGAGAACAGUACUGGUUUUCCAUGCGCUGGGUGAGUGACCCUUUCAAAACUUGCUAUCCUAUCCAUGUAUCGAUAUACUGAUCUUAAUGUAGAAAUAUUUCUCUCUUUUCUCUGAAAAUAAUUGUUUUUUAAUAAGUUAUAUGAAAAUUUACAGUCAGAUGCCACCUUUUUACCAUCUCUAAGAUUUGAUGACUCAUUUGUAUAGUUUCCACUGCCGUUUGGGUGCUUGAUCAGAUUAUAUGGAAUGUUCAUAAAUAAUGGCAACUAUCAUUCUCCAGAAACAAUGUAUAGUUAUUAGAGUAACAACCUUGAUAAUAUAGGAGUGAAUGGAUCUCUAGGGAACACUCAUCUCGAUGUGCAUUAAGUAAUCUCAAGAAAACACUCAUCGACACAGACGUUGUCAAAGAUUCCCAAAGAACCUGAUAUUUUCUUUUGGUUUACUACUUUGAAACAUUGCAUUCGUCAUUAAACUUGAAAGAAUAGGGUCUCAUCCAUGUGGAUGAAAAUGCUUGAGCCAUAUUUACUAUUGCAGGUCUUUCAAGGAAAAUAAAAUCCAACAUCAUCUUGAACUUCUGUAAAUAUACAAGCUUAAGAUGAUCUUAAGUUUUGUUUAAAUAUUUCAUCCAAGUCUUAAGCAAAUGCACUUCUGUAAUCCUAUAAAUUAGUGGAUCUGACCAUAGUUUUUGAGAUUGUUAUUGCUCAUGGUGCUGUAAUUAAGAUUGCAAAUCCUAGUUUAUGAUCCUGUUGUGUCAGAUCACAAGUGACCAAUAUUGUCAAGAUUAUUUGUGAAGCAAGAGGAAGUGAGGGAAUGGCAGACACUGAAUGGCUUCAUACAACUAAAUAAAAGAGAAGAGAAGUGAGGUUAUCAUAGAAAGUGAAACUAAAUCUUAGAUAGUAAUGGUAAAUUAAUUUUUUUAGCACUUUUUUAACCAAUUAACAACUAGUCUUUAUUCCCUCUUUAACCAUAUAUCCACUGUCACUAAAUAACAUCCCAAAGCUGCUUAGAUUGCAGGGGUUAUUCUCAAAUGGUUAAUCCAAUAGUUAGACAAACUGUAUGUACAUUUCAAGGGAUACUAUGUCCAGAAAAAUUAAUUAAAUUUAGAUACCUUUGCAGCAUAUCAAAAGAAAUGUAGCUAGGGUUCGUAUGGUUCGUUUUAUAUGGGCUUUAGGAAUUUUUUGAGCCAAACUUAAUCGAAUAAAAUCUGUUGUCAAAAAUACCAAAACGAACUAAAGCAAAUAAAAACAAAGCUUGAACUCAAAUUGGUUGGUCCGAUUUGUUUCUAAUCUUUAUCUAUAUUGUGUUACAAUUAUUUGGCCAUAAUUGUAAAGUGCAUAAAUUUUUAAAUACAUCGAGUUCAUGAGGAUAAAAAUUGUCCUAUUUGUUUGUAUAUUAAUCUGGUUGCACAACAUCAUCUACUACAGUUAUAUUGUUGUAAUAUAUGGAUUUAUGCUCUUGUAAAGAUAUGUAUUUGGUGUACCAUUUCUUUGUUUAUUUUUAUAUUUGGAUUGUUCUUUAAAUUGCAAACUGAGUGAAACUGAGACUUAUUUGAUCAUUUGUUUUUCACAGAAUUGAGCUAAUUAAUCUAAUAAAAAUCCAUAAGAUAGGACCGGAUGUCCUGGUUUGGUUCAUUUGCAUACUACCCUUAACUGUAGUAUGUCUUUACCUUCAUAAAAUGACAAAAAAUUGUAGUGCAAUUCAGGUAAGUAUAAUUGUGAGCUUGUUGCACUUAAACCUGCAUGCAUGGAAUCUUUUAUAGAGUUUUGACGUCUAAAUAGGUAUUUUAUUUUAAAAAAGAAAAAAAUAAACUAGAUUCUGAGCUUUUUUGUUUUUUUUUUGCUUUCAGUUUCCACUUUCUUUCAUAGCCCUUUAGCAACACCUGCUUAUUUAAGCAGUAUAAUUAGUAGCUUUUUCCCUGAAGAAAAUCUAAUUUCUUUUCCACAUUAAACUUGUUUACAUGUAGGUUUGUGGAAAUGAUGGCUCCUGUUUUCACAUGGUCUGCAUGGAGAUGUGCAUGGCAUAUGAUUCAAGUCUGUCAACUAUGCCUAAUUUUCACAUAUUCAUCCAAAUUAAUAAAGUUUUGAAGCAUGCAUAUCAAUGCAUUCCUAUCAUAUGAAAAUGUAGUCAUAUUUAUCUUUAUCUGCUGCACCUGUCUGCAGAACGACUUGAUUCAUGCGUGGGGUUUAGAUAUGAAACUUGGUUACUGUUCUCAGGUAGCAUUUUCAUACCAGGUAUUGCCGGUUAAUAUAUUUUGAAAAGAUGACAUCUAAUAAUAUUGUUCCUUAUUAGGGAGAUCGGACCAAAAAGGUUGGCGUGGUAGAUAGUGAAUACAUCACACAUAUGGGGAUUCCGACUCUUGGUGGAUCCAAUGUAAGAAAGGCAAGUCAGUAGAACAAAUAUACACUGUUUUUACAUUUCUGAUGCUAUCUACCUCGUUGUUUGUAUCUUUGAUCAUGGUUCAAUUCGAAUAGAAAUCAAAUCGAAUUGGAAUUACUUGACAAAAGGUUUUGUUGUUAGUCAAUAGUUUGAAAUUGCCUUAAACCUAGUAGUACAUUGAUGUGGAUCGCUUGUCUAGGUGGUCAAGCUACAGAAAGCGAUAUUUGUUCAUUUCUUGUGUAGGGCUUCUUGGUUUGUUCAUCAAUCUGACUGAUGUUGUGCACUUGCAGGACUCAAAUGGAUCAUCUACCACAAAUCUCAGAGCUGCAGUAUGUAUCAUAAUUUGCUUAUAAUUGCUUUCUGAUCUGUUGCGUUUCUUCUGCACUGGACUGAGCUGUCUUGUGCAGGUGGUAGACCGGUGCUAUGCUGAACUGGACAUGUUUAACAAGAGAUGGCAAGAUGCUGCACAAAAAGAUAAAUGCUGGACUGACCGAUACCCUGAAGCCUGAAAGACCAUGUCGCUCCACCGUCCUUUCAACUCCACCACCAUCAGAAUCCCAAGUGCAGUGGGAAGUCUUUGAAUAAGGAAGCAGAGGAUAUCACUCACCUACCAUCCACCACUAAUUGUACAUGAAGACUUGCUAGCGCUACCGAGAUCACUUUUUGAGGCUAUUUUAGGUGAGUCUCGCAUUUGUAAGUCAAGACGAUUGGCUCUUUCGCAAAGAUCAUUAUUUUAGGCAAUCCUAUUUAAUUUUGCAUGCGUGCAAUGAGUUUUUCCUCUUUUUUUUUUUUCCGGACUAUAAUUUCCCAGAAAAUUUUCUGUAGGAAUGCUCUAUGUUCCUCCAUAUGCUUUCGGCUUUGAUACCAAUGGAAGCCGUGGUUUUCAUGUGCUGAUUAAGAGACAACAGAAAGGAUCCUUAGCGAUUCGACGUUGUUUACUAGUGCUUUAGUUGGCAACGUAGGCCUCGCUUAGACAACCAAUGGGGAAGGCCAUCUUCUUCGGUCGGUGGCUUUGCCGAUAUGACUUUUAUUUUUUUUUAUUUGCGUUGAAAUACAAUAGGUUUUGUCAUGUAUGGUCGAAUAAUCCAAUGUUACACAUCUGUAUAAUCCAAUGUUACACAUCUGUGACUAGCUCUUCUAAAUGGACAUGUAUCCAGAUCUUGUUUAGAGACCGUGCAAGCCGAGGCUUUCAACUUUGCACAAGCUUCUCUACCGUAACACUGCUGGAGUCGUGUGCCAUGUAUUGACAGUGUAGGUAAAGAUUUAUAGAUUUUACUCACUGAUUUUUUUUAAAGUAAAAUUAUAUUAACUAAAAUAUAGAAAUACAAAAAGAAUUAUAUGAUCAGAGAUACAAAAAAAGGAAUCAAAAUCCUAAAAGAAAAUAUAUUAUAUAUCUUCAAUCAAGAUUCUUAUUGCCCAAGGAGUGAGAAUCAUCUUGACUCUAUAGGAUCCACACCAAUAUCUUUAACUAUGAUUCAACAUGAAUCAUCUUGACUCUAUCUUAAGCAAUAAUUCAUAAAUCAUCUUUGAUAGUAUUUGUCUCCUAAUAGAGAGAAUGCACCCUUUUCCAACACACCUAUACCCACCCAGUAAAAAGGAGUUCACGAGUAUCAUUUAUUAAUAUAAAUCCUACUCCAUAAUCUCUAUCCUUAAUAGAACUAUCAAAAUUGAGUUUUACUCAUCGAGGCCUCCUCUAAGAUACUUUUAUGCUCUUGAGUUGAUCAUGUCAUAAUAUUUGAUUAAUGUAAUAAUUUUAUAAAAAAAUAUCAUACAUAAAACUAAUCAUACACUUAAAAGAAAAACUCUCUUUUAAGUGUAUGAUUAGUUUGAUCAUUUGAAGACAUUAUAAUACAUCAUUGUAAAAGCGAGUAUUUUGAUCAUUUGAAAAAAAACAUAUAAUCUCAGUGGACAUGAUGAAAAAUGAAUGGCUUCCUUCAUCUUGGGAGACUCCCGAGAUAUGUGAGACUUUCUGGAGAUGCCAGCCUUUAUUUUUUUAAUAUUAUUUUAUUUAGUAAUGUCGAACGAUACAGACGAGUGGACCAACAUGUUGGCUGCUCGUGAAUCACGUCGCCACCGUCCCAUCCCAAGGAGAGGAGCUUCACAAUCCCUGGACGCCCGGGUUCCACGGGCGAACCCGCCGCGAGGCCGCUGUGGCUCCCGCUCGGACCCCUGCCGCAGCUGCUAUGGUCUCCUUUGCAAAUCUCAUCCUCCGCAACUCCUCGCCGCAAGCCAGCUAUCAGAUCCAACGGCAGCAGAUCAGUUUCGAGUACUUGAACCCACUCGCUCGACAUCUGACUUCCCUUGCAAGAUGGUUCUUUCGAGGCUCCCCUUUUAGCCAAUCCCCAUGAAGCGUAGCACCUCUGUUCCAUCAUUUCCUUCUCUCUCCCAUUGUGGUUCCCAUUGACCCUCUCCCUCUUCCCUCUUCCCUCUUCCCUCUUCUCUCUCUCAAACGCAUCGAAGAAGUAAAACCAAAUCGAAUAAGGAGUAGUAUUUGUGAGGAAAUAUUGGGCUUCUCCUUCUUGCAUCCACGAGGUACGAGAAUACCAUUUGUAAUGUUUACUUGCCAACUCCUGUUUCUGAUACGUAAAUUUGCAGGUAGAUUAGCCGGUUUAUGAGACCAAGAAAGACCUCUGUUCGAGUAACCAUAGAAUUUCUAUUCAGAGAAUCAUAUAGUUGUCGAUCGUAUUUAACUAUCGUUGGAUUUUUCAGAUCCCUGAUCUCAUAGAGUUUUUUUCUGACACCAAUGCGAGGCAUCAACUUCUUUAAAUAAUCAUGGUGAGCAUAUCAGUGGAUUUUCGUACCACUCAUUGCAUCGUUUCGUCGUAUAUUUGUGUUCGAAUUUUUCGGUCUUUUAAAAAUACAAUUGAUUCUUGUUGUCACGUUUACAUUGGAACUCCUUGAUGAAUAAGGAAAAAGAUUGAGUCGUAUACCACCAUUGAAAUAUUCCUACUGAUACAUUCUUUUUAGGAGCUAAUUUGAUUCAGGUUCAGUUUGACUAAAAUUUUCUUCUUUAAUUUUACAUAUCAGGCUUGCUAUCUCAAUUAUUAUUAUUAUUAUUGUUAUUAUUAUUAUUAUUAUAUAUAUAUAUAUAUAUAUAUAACCAGAUGAGUACAGACAAUAUAUAUACAUAUAUUCCUGAGAGUGUGCAUUCUGUCGCUUCAUUUGCCACUUUUGCAGCUUUGAACUCAAGUAUGCAUUAAUUUGAGAUAUGUAUUAUAACUUACGCUUUCAAGUAGAGAGAAUUGGAGUACAGUGCAACAAGAGGUCAGAGAGCUAAGCAAGACAUUUGAUGGACUGUGUGCAUGGGGAUGCAGAGAGUAAGCAUGAGCAUCUGAAAACACAUCCCGCGAAAGCUGUCGCUGAAGAUGGUGAUCCCCCUCCAGGAAACGAAAAUGAAGUUGAGAAGGAAACAACUUGCUCUUCCUCUGCUACUUCCGAUGACUCGUCCGAGGAUUUCUUCCAGUUUGAUCCAGCUGAACUCAGCAAGUCAGUCGUGGCGAACGAUCAAGAGAUGAGAAGCCACUGUGGUGCAGCUACAUCAAGCACGAACGGGUUCCUAAUCCUCAUCGAUGAUGACGAUGAGGAUAGCAUCCUUGCAGAGGCCCAGCCGGUGGGUAUAGCUGACACCGGUACCUCCUGCAUGGUGGCUUCGAGACAGUCACCUCCAGUUCAGGUGAUGGAGAGAUUGGACGUCCCCGACACGGGUCGGAUUCCCUCCCCCAUCUUCACAAGGGACAGGUCCACGAUGACGCCGAUGGAGUGGAGCGUGGCCUCCAACGAGUCUUUGUUCAGCAUCCAUGUAGGGACUUGCAGCUUUUCCAGGGACCAUCUCAUUCUGAUGGGCAGGUCAGGGGAGUUCACCCCCAUCGACUCCGGUAGCCCUGUGGAAUCCUGCCGACUGACGUCUGCCGUUCCAGGCUCAGAUCCUGUAGGAAACGAGGGCGCCGGCGCCAUGAAGGGUGCGGAUCAGGAAGAGCAGCUUUAUUCGACGAGUGAGGGUGCAAAACUGUCCACCAGACUAUCUCACCGAUCAGAUAUUGGCAGCGCAUCCAGGUUUCAGUCGUUUGCGUUUCCAGUGUACGCUCUCCAUGUCCAUUACUCUCAUUAGGGCAAAUGUUUUAGAUUAUGAGAAUUAGGAUAAGGCUUUCAUGUUGAUAAGUCUCCAUGCAUAUCGAGCGACUUCUAAUCCUGCUGCUUAUGUAGAUACGUGCAAGUUUAUGUGACAUAAGAGAUUUAGUUUGCUCCGGGUGCUUUGUCAAUGAAAAUGCUGAAUAUAAAUGUGAAACAAAAAAUGAUGAUACAGAUUGACAGGUAAAGGAAGUAGUAGCUCAAUGAAGAUGGAACAUGGGCAUCCACUUCAGACUGAUACACCAAAGGAGGAAGAAGCUGCUGCUGCAGGAGAGAAUAAAUGGUGUCCAUGCUUUUCUUGUUGCUCAUCCUGCUGCUGAGAGGGUAACAAAUAUAGCAAAUCUCCAUAUUUGCAGUUUUUCCGGUGAUGCAGCCUUCCAUGUUGAAUUGCGUUUUGUUUCAAUCGUCCUGCAGCUUUCGCAAAUGAAAUUUUGUUCAGACAGAGAGAAGCGCAUAUGUUCAUGGUCAUCAGUUCCUCCACGUCUGUGCCUCGGAAGGCUCGGCAUGAUGAAGGAGGCCGUCUUUUGCUCGCCUGAUGAUAACGUAUUAUGCCUUUUUUUUUCUUUUUCUUUCUCUAUCAUAAUGCAGAUAUGCACUAAUUCUUUCAAAAUUUAGUUAUCUUCGAAUGCUAAUGCUGGAUUUAGAGAAAUCAUUACUCAAAAAACUGGGUUUAAAGUUUGCUAAAGUCUGACGUGCAUCCUUCCUGACAUCGGUUCUGGCAUCAUGGUGCGCUAUUCAUCGCUCAUCGAGGGUGCAUCCUCCUCCUUAGGAGUAAAGCAUACGGGUGAGUGAAUUAUCGACAAGAGGAACGAACAUUUCUUUUCCCCGAUCAAUGUGCAGCAAUUGCCUUUUUUCCUUCAGCAUUUAUGCGCACAUUUCCAACACGGCGUCAUUUGCCAGAGCAACCAACCCCACAGCGGAAUGCAGGACUUGCAACUGAAGUCGGUCGGUCUUUUACCUACAGCACAUACGAGGAGGCUCUCACAAUCUGGCUAGAAGCAACGGGAUUUGUGUUAACUUUGUAGCGAGCGCUGGCUUAUUAAGUAACUUAAGCUCAUAAUGUGACAGGAUUAAUUUUUUUCAUAUUCCCGAGAGUUUGCGGCCUGGUUUUUGUCCAGUCGAAAUCGAAGCUUUUAGCAUUGCUUGAUGUUUGGCGCACUUUUACAAGCAGCAAAACAAAACAGAAUUUUAAAUAGAAAAAAACAAAAUGUAAAAAGACUUUAAUAAUAAUUAAAGAAAAAUACUUUUCAUUCUAACCCAAUUAGGUUGUAUCAAAUCUUCAACUGAACAUGAUCGGCUGUUGCUCUUUUUCAUUAUCAUUCUUCAACAAUAACUGAUCACAAAUAUUAUAAAGUCUUUCAAUGUCGGAAAUCUAAAUUUAAGAUUAAAUAAGAAAAAAAAUAAAUAUUUUUUUUUAUUUUAAAAUAUGCUAAAACCUUUAUAAUUUUUAUUCAAAAUCACUCAAAUUAUUUUACACUUUAUUUUAUAAGACUUGAAAACAUAUAAUAAACUAAUGUAAUUGAUAAUUAUAUUAUUUUUAGUAUAGUGGUCAAAACAUUGUAACAAGUCAAUUUUUAAUGUCGAAUCGAGUGAUGUUGUUCUUAAACUAUUAUAAAUAUCUAUUUGAGUUAUAAUAUAUCAAAUGGUUUCUAGUGUGUUUUGAUUUUAUUAACUUAUUUAUAGUGUUUUCAAGUAAGUUUUGUAGUGUUCUUGUUGUUGUGGUGAUCAAAAUGCUAUAAUAGGCCAAAAUACUGUAACAGACGAAAAUUUUUUUAAACGUAGUUUGGGUAUUUUUUUUUAAUUAGGAGUUUUAUUCGAAUAAAAAAUAAAAUGGGACACCAAUCGGGAAAUACUCAAAAUAUAAAUAUUUUUAAGAAAAAAUCAUCCUAGAAACAUGUUUGUAUCAUUGAAAUGAGAAUAUAAAUUGAGGAUAAAUAAUCCAAUAUGACAUGGAUGUUUUCUAAGUUUACUUGCAAAUGUUGUGGUUAACAACUUAGGACAAUUAGUAUUAGUGCAUGAGAGACAUAAGAAGACUAAAGAAAAUUAUAUAAAAAUAAUAAUAAAUAUAUAUAUAUAUAUAUAUCCUCUUGACUUAUUAAUUUUUACGAGUCUCAAUAAAAAAACGUGUAGUCGAUAUCAAGUUGUUGGAAUAUUAGGGCUUGUGAUGACCGGCAACGUCGUCUUUCUUUCCUCAAAGAUCUUUCGAGGAAUAAGAUGUUAUUUAGAACCGUCAUUUCACGGAUCAUGCAUAACAAGUAAAUAAUUUCCCAAUUCCGUCGAGUCUAUUAUCACUACGAGCAGUAGAUCGACAUGUGCAGAUCACAUUAAUACCUCUAUUUUUUAUUCCGCUCGGAGCAAUCCUCAUGUUCUCAUUUCCACUUCACCUUUUGCACCAAGCAUUUUGGUCUGUGGCACUCCAAGUAUCCACUCAGCCUUUCCUUUCAUUUCUAGCUUUAUUUCUUUUCUGAUCGCUUAUAUCCCAUCAAAAACAAACCAAGAAGAUGCACCGCAUCACAUGAAGACGACACCUGACUUUGUUAAUGUGCUAUAGUAUAAAAAAGUUGCAAGGUGAGUUGUCAUCGUGCGUGCUUAAAACAAAGUUUACCAUCACAUCAACUGGAGAGUGUUUAAAGGCCACAAUAUUCCAUCUCGCAAGCAACAGACUUUUUAACUCAAUUAUUUGCCUCUCAUAGGACGGCUCAUGUAUUUUGAGGCCAAAUCAUUUGGAUGGUUCUCUCAAAGGAUUACAAGGAUAAUUCUUCUUUUCACUGCAAACCACAUCUUUCCAACGACCGAGGAGAUGUCUGAUAUAUCAGCUAGCUCUGUGCAUAAUUAUUCAACCCAUACAUGUAACAUUUUCUUCUUUUUUUUUGUUUAAAUAUACCAAUUUUACAAUGAAUCUCAACUUUGGCUGCGCUGAGCAUGUGCAAACACAGGCAUAUCACAAGCAAUAAAGUGGGUAUUGUCAUUCGAGUCUCAUCAAUGAUGGAGUAAUUGGCAUUUCUUGAAGCAAACUAGUGCAUGACAUUCUUCACAAGCAAAUCAGCUGAUUCCAGAGACUCGAGUAAAUGGAGCUGAUCCACUUCUGUGCCAACCCAUAUGUUCCCUUGGAAAAGAAGACAAACAUUUGUAAAGCUUUACCAACACAUUAACCUUCAGAUUGAAGCUUCCAGUAACACGAUCUACAAAAGGUGCGAAGCGCUUAUCACAUGAAUGAGAAAACUCAGCUUUAUGAUAGAGAAGAAAGAAAGAGGAGAAACUUACGUGUCAACAAUUGAAAGCAGUGAGGAAGAUUGGCCCUUCAAAAACAAGGGAACCAGCGAGCUUGUGCACUUGUAUUUGAUAUAUAUAUAUAUAUAUAUUUUAAUAUUUUUCUUUGAAGCUCAUCAAAGGAACCAUCACUGUUGUGCUGCGUGUCUUCAAAGCAAAACCAACUUGGAAGGCCACUUUCACCAUCCAUCACAGCUUUGCCACCUUUCUCCUCCUUUUAUACCACACCUCUAAUUUCUUCCUUGAAUAAUGCUUGAUCAGGGGAAUCUGCUCUGUUUUACAACCACUUGAAGAACUUACAUUGACAAAACUGUUCCCUGAGACUGUUCCAGAAUUUAUGAGAUGGGAUCCUUCGGAAUGUUUCCCGGUUUCCCAAGUUCAGCAAUCCCUGAAUCAUCCUGCGGCUAUCUACUGCAAGAGCUAAAGGUUUGGGUUGGGGUUUUUCCAUAUCAGUGGUUCUUGAAAUUGAUACUAGCUGAACUUUCUUUGAACAUUUUAUCAACUGCUAACAGCUGAUUUGGGAUGAAGUGGGGCAAGAUCAGCUUGAAAGAGAGAGGAUUCUGCUUGAACUGGAACAGGAAUGUAUCGACAUGUAUAGAAGAAAAGUUGAUAGUGCAAAUAUCUUGAGAGUUCGUCUGCAUCAAGCACUGGCUGAUUCAGAAGCUGAGUUCACUAACCUUCUCCUGUCCCUCGGGGAACGAUCAUUCUCAGGCCGGGUGAGAUAUAGAUGACUUCUUUUGAUAGUAUAUUUAAUAAGAAAAGAAUAGCACCAAAUGUGCAGCCAGCUUAAAUUCUCUUGGAGCAGCCUGAAAAAUUGACAGGUACACUGAAGCAGCAGCUUGAUGCAAUCACUCCUGCACUUCAUGAAAUGCAGCUAAGGAAAGAAGAGCGGAUGAACCAGUUCCGGGAGGUUCAGACACAAAUCCAAAGAAUUGCUUCUGAAGUAGCAGGUCAUCAACCGGAUUGCAAUGUUCUGGUAAACGAAGGAGAUCUCUCACUUAAAAAGCUUGAUGAGCACCAAAAUGAACUCCAAAGACUUCAUAAAGAGAAGGUAGCUUUAACCUUGGUAGCGUCGGUUUUCUUCUAUAUAUCAUCCAAUUAAUUUUCACCCAUUCUUCACUCUGAAAGAAUGAUAGACUCCGGAAAGUAGAAGAUUACAUAAAGGUGGUGCAAAACCUUGCUGAAACAAUGGGAAUGGAUGCUUCCAUGAUCAUCAGUGACAUUCACCCAAGCUUACUAGGUGGUUCAACCGCACAGCAAUCCAGGAACAUAAGUGACACCAUCUUAGAGAGAUUAAACAGCAAAGUGGAACAACUGAAAGAUGAGAAGCGUAAGCGAACAGAAAAGGUAUGAGUUUAUUUUCCAACAUAGGUCCAUUGCUACAACUAAAUCUCAGAACCAGGAAUAACAAAAAAUGAAUGUGUACAGAAUUGCUGUUUCUAAAUGCAUCACAAAGCACCCUACAUUACCAAGUUAUGCACUUCAUAAAGCAUGUCUCACCAAAGAAAAGAAUUUGAAUAAAUAUAAUUACUCAUAUCGUAGAAAGAUUCAUAGGUUGGCCAUAUACAUCAAACCUAUUCAAGAAAUACAAAACAGGAUACCAUAAAGCUGAUCAUAGAUCAUAGAAUCAUGCUAGAAAGUAAACACAAGGGGGUUCCAGGGUCAUAGCAUCAUGCUUGAGAGACAUCCCCUUGAGCCAUCCACCAGUAUGCCAUCUCUUAGUUUAACAAAAAUUAACACCUAGCUUAUUCACCAUAAGUGACCAGAUGGGCUUACCAAACUAGUGAUAAUGUAAACCAGAUUAUCACUUUCAAGCUCACAAAGAUACACCUCGUGCUCCAUAAACUUACACAAGCAAGAUAUUCAGAGGCAGGUAAACAGCAAUUCAAGAGAUCUUGAUUGUACAAGUUGGAUGAAUGCUAUGCACCAAUGUAAUAUUAGUAGAAUUAUAAGCAUAAUAAUAGGAAGAUUUAGACAAAUAUUUUCCAUAUCUGACACUAGCAUCCUUUGCAACAAAAGAAAAGUACACUAACAUCCACAAAUUUUGAACUUCCAAAUAUAAUAAGUUUGCAGUUUUUAUUUAUUUUGUGUGAGAAAAAUUGAAUUUUUAUUAGGAUAUUAGGAGUUAACCCAUGGUUGAACCUUAGUUGGACAUUGAUCACCCAUGAAAAUAGAGCCAUUUUCUGGAUUGAGUUUAACUGCCACAAAUUUUGAAAUGAGCCUCUCUCACAUAUAAUUUAGUAAAUUAAUCCCCAGACAGUUAUACCAGACAUUAAAAGCAAAAUGAUUCGUAUUAUACAUGUUUAACAAAUGUAAUUAGGCUACAGAACUGCUGCAAUAGAGUCAAUGAUGUUUCAAGAUUAAGAAUUGGUGAUUUUAUGACAAUGCUCACAACAUUAGGAAAGAUGAUUAUUGAAUUAGAAAAGACAGCACAAUAUUGGAAAAACAAGAGAUGCAACAGGAAAAUAUAAAACGAGCCUCUAAGUGCUCUUUAAUUAGUUUCAAACAAAUACUACCUUAUGAACUAAACAGAGGAUGCAGAUAUCUUUUAUGCAUCAGCAUUAUUGUUGCACCUUUUGUACACUUUGCAUCAACUCCACUAAAACUACAGAUACAAUGAUUUUGCAGCUUUACAAGCUUGGGAAAGCAUUGACAAACUUGUGGAAUCUCAUGGAUACAUCGAUUGAGGACCGGCAGAAGUUCUAUUACAUGAAUAUAUAUACGUCAUCAGCUCCAACAGAUCACAUAUUAAGACCAGGAAGCCUUUCCAUUGAUAUAAUCCAUCAGGUAAAGAAAGAAUUAAGCUAAGAAAUCAAACUUCAGAUAAAGCAUUUCCUUUUCUGUAUUAAAAAGACAAAUUAGGUAGUCUAUAAUGGUUCCUUAACUGACACUGCUGCUACAGAUAAAGCAUUUCCUUUUCUGUUUUAAAAAGACAAAUUAGUAGUCUAUAAUGGUUCCUUAACUGACACUGCUGCUCUGACUACAAUCCAGGUUGAGUCCGAAGUGGAGAGACUGGAUCAGCUAAAAGCAAGCAAAAUGAAAGAGCUUUUUCUCAAAAAGCUCAGUGAGCUUCGAGAAAUAUGCAAGAAAUCUCAUUUGGAAGUACCUUCAGGAUCAGAGAUGGACAAAAUCAUGAACCUCAUCAUGUCAGGUGUGCCUCUUGCUUCAGUUAGAUGCAUCAUUAAAUGAUUCUUAAUGGUAGCUGAACUUAUUGACACUCAACAAAACCUUGAACCAAAGGUGAGAUGGACCAUGCUGACCUCCUAGUGAUUAUGGAAGAGCAUAUAUCCCAGGCAAAAGAAGAAGCACGCAGCCGGAAGGACAUUAUGGAGAAGGUCGAAAAAUGGAUGGCUUCAUGUGAAGAAGAACAGUGGUUGGAAGAAUACAGCAAGGUCAUCUCCAAAUUCAUCAACUCAUAUGUCAAAGCUUACAAUUCUAUUAAAUAUUGCUGAUGAGGAAUCCUAAUUUUGACAUAUGGAUGUUUGCAGGAUGAAAACCGUUACUCAGUGAGCAGAGGGGCUCACAAGAACUUGAAACGUGCAGAACGUGCUAGAAUUAUUGUGAACAAGAUUCCAGGUAAGAAUUGACUAUAGCUAAAUAAGAAAUAUGAUGUAUGAUAGACUAAAACGAGAAAAUGCAGAUUUGGUUGAAUUGUUGAUGGCAAAGACAGAGAUAUGGGAAGAGGAAAGGAUGAAAAAUUUCUUGUACGAUAAGGUUAGGCAAGAACCUAUUGCUUUAAUACAUUUAUGAAUUUAUCCAAAUAUUAUCUUUUUCAUCAUUGUUCUACCGGAAUAAGUACCAUAUUUAAGUUCACAUUUUACUUCAAAAUAUUCUGCUAGAAGGAUGCAAAAUGAUGCUCAAGAAGACUUGUUCUGGGAAAAAAAAUACCAAAGACAAACUUAAAUGCAAUUAAUUAGUUUUUGUUUCCUUUCUCAUGAUAGCAUAGCCACCACUUUUACUGAUGAGCAUGCAAAUUUAAGCAAUUAAAUGACUUUAAUAACUUGCAAAGGACAUUUUAUAGAUCAAGUUUUGCAACUUGCAGAAUCAUGCAUGCAAGGAUCAAGUAUCAUAAAACCUAUUAUCUUCUUGUUGCAAAGCCUAUAAGCAUCUAAGACAGCAAAAUAAAUUAACCACUAAAGUUCAAACAUGAAAGCUAAGCUAGCUACCCUUGAAGUAGAUGCAUAAUUUUGUAAUAUGAUCAAACAUAUAUUCAAUUAUGAUUUCAAGUAUUGGUCGUUACUGUGCUUGAUUUCAAGUAUGGUCUGUAUGCACCAGACCAACCAGUAUUUAUUGGUAUGAUCAAGGACCGGUGUCAGACCAUAUAUCUCAAUAAUGUUCAGGUUUUUUUUUGGGUGAUACCAGGCUGUAUGGGUGGCAUUUCACCUAGUACAUACUGGUACUGUACCAUUCUAGUAACUGAGAUUUAAACCCUUGUAUCCAAAUAAUUAAAUUUUCUGUUUUUUUAACCAAAAUGGACUAAGAACUUUACAUGAAAUAUACCUGACAUCUACAUAAAUGGGUUGCAUGAAAUAAAUCCCAGCUUGGUAGCAUAACCUCGCUGAUAUGGAUUUACCACAACAUGCUCCACACCUGCCGCAAAUUUCUUUUUUCUUUUUCCUUCCUUUCUAUGUGCAAGACAAGCUAACAAAACCAUGUCGAUCUGAUUCUCUCACUUAAUUUCUGCAAAAGCAAAGCAAAUCAAAUCAAGAUAUUCUCUUUUAUAAACGUCUUGCUUUUUUCUUUCUCCUAAAUUAGUUGCUGCUAGCACAGCAUAUGUUUCCAGCCUACAUGAGCAUGCAAGACCAAGAUAUUGCUCACCUAAGGAAAAAGAAGAGAUGAAAUUAUCCCAUGUUCAGAUAUCGGAUUGUACGGAGAUAUCAUUUCCAGUUGGAAAUGCAACAUUCUUUCGUAGGACCCUUUUAAGGAAAAAAGUUUAAUUUAGCAGUUAAUAGAGACAGUUGCUGCCUUGAUGCUGCAGUUGCAUAAAUUCACCUCAGAGAUUUUACAACAACAAAAUUACCAGGAAAACAUUGUUGUCAUUGAGGUAUUAUGGAAAACUGUAGACUUAUAGAACAAGCGAUGAAAUUUAAGUUCCUGAACUGAACUAGGAAAAGAGGAUUUGUCAACAUAUAGGAUAACUUCCAUAUACAAGACCAAAAUGCUUAUACAAAAUUAAAGCCCAAUCAUCACAUUUGUCAUUAACACCAUGAUUGCAUUACCUACCAUUUGACAGAGUGGAAGGGAUAUAUGGAGAAAAAAAAGAGAAGAAUAAAGAAUAAUCUUAGAUAUCUUGUAAUAAGAUUCAGAACUAAUCCAACAGUUUUCUCUUGAUUUGUUAUGAUAUAUUUUGGAUCUUUUAUAUGAUUUAUAUAAUUGUUAUUUAUUAUAAGAGUCUUGUACAAUAUGAUUGACAUUUAUUUUCUAAAAAUAUAUACAAUUGUUAUUUCUAAUGAAUUAUUCUCUAGCAUUUUCAUUAUUAUUUUUUCAACAACUUCUUAUAUUUUAUAUAAUAGUUUCAUAUGUUUUUUGGGAAAGACAGACACGUUAUGAAUUAUGAUGUUAAAGAGGUUUCUUAACAAAAAAUAUAUUUAUUUUCUCAUAAUUUAUUUUGUGUUUUGUGGUGCCCUACCAUUUAUAUUAUAUAUAAUUCUUAUAAUUUUAUGAUUACUAAAUUAUUUUUUCAUCCGAGUUCAUUCCCAUCAUUCUAAUUCGAUCGAUCCCAAGGCCUGAUCAUAUCAUCCCAGCCAAUUCAAAUCUGCUUUCAAUCUUACAACUUAUGUGCAAGAGCACAUGUAGUGGUACCCAAUAGCCUACGAGUCUCAUGCAGUGUCAACGCAAGUUGAAUCAAAGGCUAAUCCUGAAUACAAACCAUAAAAUAGUCCUCUCCAAGAAUUUAAAUACCGAACAACUUACCCUUGAAUAACCAUUCCCGUUGUUGACAUGCACCAUAUAGAUGUCAAGGCAAGUUGUUAACAUAGACAGUUUCUGGUAAUCAUUAGGUGAAAGAGAAAGAAAAAAGACCGAUAUGGAGAGGCAAAAUGUGAAAGCAUAGUUGGGCCCUGGUGCUGCUGCUAACAUAGAUAGUUGCUGGGACUUAUUCGGUGAAAGAGAAAGAAAAAAAGACUGAUAUAGAAAGGAAAAAUGUGAGCACAGUUGGAUCAAUAACUCUGAUAGUUGACAGAGAAUCUUUGAAGUAGUGAAGUUCAAGAAGAAGGCUGACAUGAAUAAAUACUCAUGUUAGCUUUCCUGCUUAGUUGUUAUCUUGCUCGAGUUUGAUGGGCUUUACAAUGUGAAUGGCACUGAGAGAAAACCUAGGAACAAGAUCUUGGUUUGGAUUUUGUCAAAUGACUCCAUCCAGUGUGAUGUUGAAGAGGUUUCACACAGUUAAAUAUGUGUUGCACCUCAGUGAUGCACGUCAGUUUGGUUCUCAUUUUUCACAUGAAUAAUAUAUCAGUCCUAGCAAUCCUUGGCACCUCUUUCACAAAAAUCCAUGCUUUCCUCCACAUAGAGAAAUACACUAAUCUUUACAUAACAUAUCAUAAAUUUAACGUUCACUUUGCUCUACAGAGACAUUUGAAACAUACUUUAAGCUUGUAAGCAGGACAUAAAGUAUGCUUUUUAUCAGUCAAUUGAAUAAUCAAUUCAGAAACUAUACUUUGAUUUCUUUUAUGUAUCAUGCACAGUCAAUUUCUGUAACAAAUUCAUUUUUUCUUUCUAUAAACUUCCAUAAACCAAUCAAAAUUGUGGUAAUUUCAGGCACCAAACCAACAAACUACACACUAUGAUAUCAUAUGUAUCUUUUAUUAAUACCUAAGACUUCUAUUAUCUCAUACUACAACUAAAAGAAAUGCAACUGAAAUUUUUCAUCCCAUAUAUAAUCAAUCUUUAUAAAAUUACAGGUACCUCUAAUGGCAAUGCUUAAAGAGUACACUCUGUUAAAGCAAGAAAAAGAGGAGGAGAAACAAAGGCAAAGAGUAAGUUCUAGUGCAAUUCGAUGAAGGAUACAAGAAUAUCUAAAGAAGUUCUGCAAAGGAUUGUUCUGAAGAGCAAACAAUUUUUAACCCCUUGUUUAGAUGAUUUGUUCCGGAUUGUCAAUAACAUCUUUUCUCUCUGCAGGAAAGAAAAAAAGUGCAAACUCAGAUUACAGCAGAACAUGAGAAUUCAUUUGGCUCAAGGCCAAACACAAGCACUACUCGUCCUUCCAACAAGAUUCUAAAUAGCAGUUUCGUCAGUGGUCCUUCGAGCAGGAGACUGUCCAUCAUCAGCCAACACCAAAGGUCAAAGAACAAUUAUGCAAAUAAAGGAGCAAACUUAAACAAAGGGAGUAUAAAGUUGCAAACGCGGAAGAUAUUAAGCAAUUAUAGCCAUGCCCCUAAUUCUAAAGAAGAUGCAGCAUCAGAGAUCUCUAUAACAUUUUCAGGCUGAAAUCAUGACUCUUCAUUCGAUAUUAAACAAUGUAAAGAAUCAUAAGAUCAGGCAAUCAAUGUGUGAAUGGAAUGGUACAGUUUUUGGAUAAAACACAAGCAUGACAUUGUAUAACCACUAUUAUGAUAUAUUUGAUCUUACAUCCUGCUAAAAGAACCAUACUUCACCGAGUUCUUCGAGAAAGCAGUAAUUGCGGAAGAGCUGGACUGCGGACUGUAAUUCAAGGUUUAAAAUUUUGUUAUCUGGUGUCAAUACCGAUAAGCGGCCAAACUAGUACGCUUUCGAUACAGAUCAAUAUCCUGACACUCGGUAUGGACCGAUGCUUUCCAGACCAAGAAAGGGGGGAAAAGGAGCGAGGAGGACUUGCAUAGGGGCAGGAAUAUGUGGAGCGGAGAAGGAAGAUGAGACGGGGUAGGAGGAAGAGAUAAAGAAAGGCAGAGAAGAAGGAAGAGGAAUAUGAGGUGUAGGUGGAGGUGGAGGCGGAGGCAUAUCGGAGGUGAAAGAGGAAGCAGCGACCAGACGAUUCACUGGGGGCGGUGAACGAGGCGUUGACAAGAAGCAAACGAGUCUGGGUAAGAGACAGAAGAGAGAAUAUAUAUAUAUAUAUCUUCUUAAAAUUUCUUUUUAUCCAAGUUCAAAAAAAAUUUCAAUCAUUUAUAGUAUUUUAAAAAUAUUAUCUAGAGUUUUAAAAAUAUUAUAUAGCAUUUUUUUAAAACACUAUAUGGUGUUUUUUUUAAACACUUUACAAUGUUUUUAAAACACUAUACAAUGUUUUAUGGAUAAAAAAAUAACCCACAAAAUAUUAUAAAUAAGGGCGAUGGUUUAAAACUUUUGAAAAGGGAAUACUCUGAAAAAAAAAACUCAAAAAAAGAAAUUUUUCUCAUACAAUCACCCAUAUAUAUAUAAUAUGUAUAUGUACGGGUUUGUUGGGCUAACUGGCCUAUCUAAACCACUGACCAAAAUGCUUAAGUCGAAGUUGAUAAUAGUAUACUCAUCAGACCCUUAUAAGUCAAUCUUAGUCUUGCCUACUUUCGAUGUGGGACUAAUCAGGGAUGUUAUAAUUUAUAUAUGUAUAUAUAUGUAUAUGUAUAUGUAUAUAUAUAUAUGUAUUGUAUAUGUAUGUAUAUGUAUAUAUUAGUUUUUAUCUCUAUUUUAAUUUUUUUCAGCAAAGUAGUUCUGUUUUAAGCCAACACUAGAUAAGUUUAAAAUAAAUAAAAAAGAUAAUUACGUAAUAUCAAUAUAUAUUAAUAAAAAUAAUUUUUUUUAUAUAAAGUAUUAAUACAUAAAAUUUAAAAUAAUAAUCAUGAAGAAAAUUAAAAAUAAAAUAAAAAUCAUAUAAUUAUUGUAGAAAUAUAAUAUAAUAUUAUUUAAAAUUUCUUUAAAAUAAUUUUUGAAUGAACUAAUGAAUAUUAAAUAUUAGUUAUAUAUAGUUUGAUAACUAAAACUAGAAAAUGGACUUGAUUCGAUAGAAAUAUCGAAUAGUUAAAGAUAUAAUUGACAACUAAUCAUGAUCGUAAGAGAUGUAAUAAUUUUUUAGAAAAUAUAAUAAAAAGUUAUAUAGCUAUGUGAAAGUACUAUGAUUCAUCUUGGGUUUGACUUUCUACAAAUCUGAUUUAUCUCAGAUUUGGACGUGACAAUAUCUACCUUAUUUUCUCUUGAUUCAGAUCCACUCCUCCUCUCGAUCGUCUCCUCUCCAUAUCUACGCCUCUUAGUGAUCAAUAGUGUUUGAAGGUGAAUUUCCAAACACUAUUGAGUUCGAGCUAGGAGACACCAUCUCAGCAGAAGGAGUUAAGAUAGGGUUCGAGAUCUUGCUAUCAGAAUUUAGGUCAGGAUUCACUGCACCAACCUUACGGGACGAGCCCGAGUUAGAGGGGUUGAGAGUUGGUCUUAGUUACCUAGCUUGACGAGGGGCCUAACCCAUUAAGUGACUCUUAUGUCCCUUGGCUUUUGUUCGAUCCGAACCUUAGGUUCGAAGGUUGAUUUUAUAACUGUUCUCUUAAGCUAUUUGUAGGUUCCCCUUGUGCAUCGAUCAUCUCAUAAGUGCCAGAGCUUGAGGUGAUCGAGGGACAAAAAUCUGACGAGUGCUCCCCCACUCCACAACGAUAGUAUAUAUUCAAAAUAUUUUUAUACGUUAUGGUUUGGAAGAAUAUGGAGGUCCCCUGUUUGAUCCAGUAGUCAUGCAACAAAAGUUUACUAAAGUCAAUUAGAACACAGAUUUCGGCAAAAUUUAUCUCGGCGAGAGUAAUCUCGUCUAUUUUGAUGACUCUUCCGCUCCUAGGAUCAAUUUUGUUGAGAAUUUUGGAGUUAAAGGAGUUCAAGUGGAAGGGAAGGAAGUCGCAUCCAAAUUGGUGCAAUUUCGAUCCUCUCUUUCAAUGGUUGGAAGUUGUCCUUCCGGGGGAGGAGAAUGAGCGCCUAUCCUCCAACAAACCAGAGUCCAUUAGAGAGGAUGUCGAUCAUUUCCUCCUUGGUGGUUAACUUGAACCAGAAAAAGCUGGACAUCAUAUAUACAAUUUGGACCCCUUGGGAGAGCUUCAAAUAGGGAAGCAUAGAUCGGAGAAGCUCCAAUGGGGAGUCCUCAGAAGGAACUUGCCAUGGAUAUAGAAUCGCCGGUCCUCCCAGGCUGAGGAAACUUUCAAAGGAACAAGUUCCACCAUCAGUUUAGCACUUUCUUGAAUGUGUUGUGGGGUCUAUUCACGUUGACCCUUAGAGCCAUCCCGUGAAUCCUUGAAGAGAUUAGUCUAAGUCGUCAAAAAAGGCAAAACCGACAUAGAAGAGCCUCGAGUGGGCGGAGUCGAGGAACGUGAGUGACCAUGAGAAUAUAGUGAGACUUUGUUCGGGGGCUCAGGUUGAGGGGAAAUCGAGGAACUCUUGGAGGAGGAGGAGGAGGAAGGUGCACGUUGUCACCCAUCCUGCCGCUUCUUGCCUCUUUUGAGGUGGAGUUAAAUGAACCCCAAACCAAGCCUUGAUUCACUGAGCCGGUGUCCACAUUGCUUUGUCCACCAGUGUCACUCUCUCUCUUAGAUAACUCCACUUGGUGGAGUUGACACCCCUAUCAUCCUGCCGCUUCUCGACCAAUCUCUCUCUUUCUCUCUCUCAGAAGAGUCAAAUGAACCAUGAAUCGAUUCACCAAGCCGGUGUCCACAUUGCUCUGUCAACCAAUCUCUCUCUCUCAGAUAACUCCACUUGGUGGAGUUGACUCCCCUAUCAUCCCCAACUCCACAUGCUGACUCUUGCUAGUGCUGACUCCGACGAGGAUACGACAGCGUACGUGGGGAGUUUUAUGUCUUUUAAACUGCAUUCUCUUUCUUCCGAUGAAAAGCAAAAACAAAGGAACAAGCUUGGUCGAUCAAUUUUACACUGACAUGGGACCUCCAAUUAGUGACUCGAAGAUUUCAUUAAAGAGCAUCAUUCUUUGCGGCAGCGUAGAUCAUGGUGAUAUGGAUCAUGAUGUCGAGGAGUCGGAGUUGAUUUGUUGUUCACGGAGAUGAGCCCAACACAGCAAUGACUUGAAAUCGAAGUCGUGUCAUGCUUUUUUUUUUGAAAAACAUAAUAUACAAGAUAAAGUGCAAGUCUGGUAAUUCAGCUUCGAAGUAGAACGACUGAAGGAAAGAAGGAUUUCAAAUCAACCAAAAAAACACUCAGCCUUUUAUAAUAUUGCAGGCGGAAUAAAAUGGAAAAACCAGCCUUAACAGAGAAGAGUUAAAAGUGGUAAAAUCUCUGCCCUCUGUCAGUCGGCGCCUACGCCUCCUCAAUCACGACGGCGUCAUCGUCUCCGGCGGCCGCGCCGGCGCCGACGCCGCCAUCGAAAGCCUGUGGAUUCAUCGGGAAGCACUCCGCCUUGUGCGACAGCUUCCAAUCCAGAGCUUGACAUGCCCUCGAGCAGUAAUUGACUAAGCCGCACACCGAACAACGCCGAAACUCGUGCCUGCGUGUCUCAGGCCGCCCGCAGCCGCGGUGGGAGCAGAGCCUCAGACCCUCCGCCGCCGACCCUGCCCUCGCCUCGAACCAUUCCUUCAGGAACUGGUUGGCUGGAUGCGGCUCCGGCGCCGGCAAAUUCCAACCGUAGUCGCUGAGGAGGGGGCAGCACCCUGGUAGCGUUUCACCCGCCACCGUGACCCCCGCUGCUGUGGGCGGGCGACGCUGCUUCUGCCAUGCAGGCAAGAACGAGAUGGCGGCCGCGAGCUCCCGGGCGUUGGCCUGGACUAAUAAGCGGCGGCCCUCGGAGACGUUCUUACGGACGCCAUAGCCGUCCUGGAGGCAGUGCCCGAGCUCUCGCAGGGCGUCAACGUGGCCGUGAAAAGCCGCACGGGCGCACAGGGCAACGCCAGCCCGGGGAUCCUUGUCAUUCUUCGACCCUCCGCUGCCAUUGAAUUGGAUUACCGCCAACGAGUACAGCGCUGCCGGGUUCGAUCCGAUGGCCGCCCUAGCCAUCAACGACGCGCCGCUCCCUCUUUUCUCCAGAGCGUAAAAUCUUAUCUGAUCCCAUAAAAAAUCAAUUCUUAAGCAAACUCGAAGAUUUCUUCAGUCGAACGAGCAAGCGCACGAGCCCUACCAUUCCCAACAUGUAGCAGGCAUCAAGAUUUCCGCAGUCUACACAACGCUUGAGGUAUCCAUGAGACGAAUCGGACCACGUCUUCGCACUAACAGCGAGGCAUCUGGAGCUGGCCAUAGACAAAACCAGCGGAUGUUGCCCCAGAACAUGAAACCGCUUACACCUGUUGCAGAUACCCGAAAAGAAUAUAUUUUUACUCACAGUACCCAGGAAAGAUCCAAUCUUCAGAGGAUUAAUGCUUAAAACCACAUUAAAAAAACUCUCUAUUUUAUAAAACAGGGCGACAUUAGUGUUCGUACGUCAACAUGGAGCUGAAAAGAUCCGAAGGACUAUCAGCGGAGGAGCUGAGCUUGGAAAGCACGGACACAAUGAUGUCAUCCGGCAGCCUUUUGAAGUAAUCGACCCUCUCCUCCUUUGCCGGCAACUCCGUCGCUGCAACCCGCGGCCGUUUCCGGCAGCACGAUCCGGCUUCUCCUUGCCCCGUCGGUGUUCUCUUCCUCUCCGCCCUCCGAACUCCUCUGUCGCCCAUCUGUGGUUGGGGUCUCAGGCAUUGCGAAGCCAUUGUACGUAUGCGUCGCUGGCUCGGCCGCGCUGCGAUGUUAUUGUGGGGAAGACCAACCCCGAGACGGGAGGGCACCCUGAAGUCUGAAUAGGAGAAAGAAAGGCAAGAAGCUAUUUAUUCGUAAUCAAAAUGCAAAUCUGACGAACACACUCUUGCUAUAUUUUGCCUUUUCCCAUUUAGGUUAACUUUUACACCGAGGCCUACGCUCGGACGCCGCUUAACCCAACGGUUUUCUGUGGACGAUCCAUUUUGGGACUCCCGCAGACUCAACUUGAACGUCCGAAUGCUAUUACCAUGCACGAAAACUAGGUAUUUGGUCACGUGCAAUAUAAUCUACCUAGCGAAACAAAUUACUAUUAGAAUCGACAAUUAGUUUAAGGAAAUAAAGUUGGUGAAUAGGAUCAUACACAACUCGAAUUACAAUUGGAUUCUGGUCUUAAACUCGUUACCAUCUUAGGAUUUUAACUUUCUUAUGAUUAUAUCCAUAUAAUUUAUCACACAUCACUCUCUGUUUAGUACUAGUGAGGGCUAACUUUCAGGAAAUCAUUCUACCCACUAUAUUUAAGAUGUGGUAGUUAGAAUUAUAAGGGUUGGACAAAAAAGUCUGUCAAUUUUGAUUGAGGUCAAUUUUGGGCCCUCAACAUAUUAAUAGACAAACAGACCACUCCGUUCUUGAGUUAGUCUUCUACUUAAUGUUAGUGAUAGCUUAAAAAAGUUCCUCAUAAUUCUAAAUUUGAAACGACAAUUAUAGCGAAAGAAGAUUUAAGACGUUUUAAUGAACUCAAAUGCGAGAUACAUGACCAUACUUUUUACUCUCAGAGAAAAAUUGGUUGGGUUUACUAUAUCUAGGCAGUGUACGAUCCUCCUUUAUCAGUGGUCAAUGCGUAGCACAAGCUUUCCAUUCUUAGUAGGAGGUCGUUGGGUUUCACAUGCUUCUCGUGGAAGGCAUGGGAAUUUGCUGAUUUGUAUUACUAAAAAAAAAAUGAUGCCUCACCUAAAACGCACAAGUUAUUAGGAAAAAUCAUUUUAACAUGUACCUCACAUUUUCAUACUUUUUUAUAAUCCUUACCAUUUUCAAAUAUCGACAAUGAUCUUAUAGCAUUUUUCAAAUAAACUUAUCAUAUUUUAUUUUAUCGAACUCGUUUUGAAUAAUUUUGAAUGAAAAUUAGGAUUAUUUUGAUAUAUUUUAUACUAAAAGAUAAUGUCAUAAUCAUAAAUUUAGGUUAAAUAGCUGAGAAACUUUAUAAUAUUUGUGUUUAUUUAUUAUAAAAAUAAUAGCAAUAAAGGAUAAAAUAUUAUCCAAUUACAUUAUUUUUAAUAUAUAUUUCUGCUACUGUACCAAAACCUCAACCAUGAUAUGUAAUUAGAUAGAGUUUUUGAAACAGUGUAUUACAAACAUUGUACCCACACAUUAAUUAGUUCAAAUCUCCACAAACCUUGAUUAUCAAUCUUAUUAUAAAUUUUGAUAUUUUAUAUAAUGAAUUGUAUGAGUUUAUAGACUCCUCAAAGAUAGUUAUUGUAUUUCAACAACCUUGAUGAUCAUAAGAAAACAUCUAAUUUCCUAUCAAAAAGCCUGAAAGUUAAACGAUAGCAUCCAAGCGAACAAAGAGUACACAAUAUUAGUGAUAAUAACAUGACCAGAGCGCGUUAAAAAACCUGAGCUCUUGGGACAGCAUCGAUGCGAGAUAUGAGGAUCAAUGUACGUAAUCUUUCCUCUAAAUACAAAGAGAUUAUUUCUAUAAUAAUUUAUAUAUUUCUAGUAUAAUUUUUUCAUAUCUCCCUCCAUCUUUGUGACGCAAGCAUUUCAUGUAUGUUGAUUCUUGAUUAUCCACAAUUAAAUCCAGAACUUAAUAAGAUAUAGCCUGCAAUAAAGAGAGAUAGAAGCCAUUAAACAUUCUCCAUGAACCAUUUCAAGGCACGAAAGAGAUGAAGAUUUAACAAGUCUUUGAACCAUUUGAAGACAGUCCACGAACACGUAGUUCCCAAUUGAUGAUUUUUGGUAAUUCAAAAUUUGUGAUCUGUCCAAAAUUCUAAUAAUUUUUCGUUAUGGAAUUUGAACCAAUUGAUCACAAAUAUAACUCAGUACAAAAAAAUAAUUCAGAAGAAAUUGGGGCUGCAGGUCGUUGGUCAUCGAACACCAACCGCCGGUCACCAUCGAUUGCCGAUCAUCCAUGGUGCAGACCUCAUGGUAGUAAGGUAUUGGUCAUGUCAUUAUUCUCACGUCAUAAACUAAAACUCGAGCAACCUAUAAUCAUUCUAUCACUUGGGCUAAAAAAACAUCUUUACUAAUCCAAAUUCCACAUUGUUAUGAUUUCUCCUCUCAAACAUCAUGUACCUCUACGGUAAAAAAAUUAAUAAUUCUGAUAAAUAAUGAUAUUCUUAGCAUGAUGAAUUGUAUUCAACAUAAAAAAAGGUAUAAUCGCUUAGAAAUAAGAUACAGAAAUCAAAGAAAGACUAGUUGAGUAUCUCAUCGUUUGCUUGAGAGGUCAUUUCUAUUAAAAGAGAAUUUAAUUCAUAAUUUAAUAUGACAAUAUAUGGAAUAGUUAAAAUUAAUUAUUUAAUUAAUAAGUUAAAAAUUUUCAUGAUUAGACAUUUAAUUUUAGUGGACAUCAUCCUCAAUCUCCUAUUUAUGGAUUGGCUGAACCCUCUCUAUAUUGUGCCAGGGUGAUCUAUAAGAGAGGUAGUUCCUAAACUUUUUAAUUUUUAUUUAAUAUAAUAAAUUUUAUAAUUAUGGGAUUUAAAAGUUAUAUAAACAUGUUUACAUUAAUUAUGAUUUUUUUGAAUUUUAGACAAGUUAUUUGAUAUUUUUCGAUUUAAAUAUAGGAGAUAAAGUGUUGAUCAAUCAUUACAAAACUAGGAUUGGAUUAAAAUAAUAAUAAAACGUUGUAUUUAUGAUAAUAUAUAUGACGUACAAUUAUUUUAUAAAAUUUUAUUCGAAUUAUUCAUGUUUUAUCAAAAUUUUAAUUCAAAAAUAUGAAUUUAUUAAAAAACUUGAAUUCAUGAAAAAUAGGAGUACAUUUAUGUUUGAUAUUUUUUGGUCAAAUAAUAUCAUGAAAAAUAGGAGUCAGAUUCACCUCAAGUUAGACCUAUUUUGAUGGGAUUAACCAUUGCAGAACGAUCGACCAAGCACAUCCUUUGUGGCCUAGCGAUUGGUGGGUCAACGCACAUGCCAUGCAUGAGAUGACUCAAUAGGUCACCACCUAAAUGUAGAAGCAUAACAAAACGACAAUCGAUUGCUCUAACUUGAUACGACCCAAUUCAGCACAACCCCGUGUAACCCCUUUUCUUAGCACGAGCCAACGAAGCUUACCGCCAAAGGACUAGGCAAGUUUCGUAUCUUAGCACGAGCCGACGAAACUUAUCGCCAAAGGACUAGGCAAGGCUCGUAUCUACUCACAUAUAUGGUCCAAUAUCACAAUCCCCUUUGGCUUAUUCCUUCAUAUUUUCAUUUUUCCUCUCGUAACAAUGAUGGGAGGAUCAAAAUAAGGCCCGAUCUCCUACUCAUGUUGCUUCUCACUUCCUACUCAUGUUGCUCCUCACUUUCCUCCUCCCCUUCCCAUUACCACAAGAACUCCAUUUUCAAGCAUGUUCAAGGAUCAGUGAUUUAAAAAGCACUAGGUACCAAAAGAUACCAAGGUCCAAAAAUACCUUAGGCGCUCGCCCGAGCGAAGCAGGACACUUUGAAACAUAAAAAAUAUAAAAAAUAUAUAAUAUAAAUGAUAAUAUAUAAUUAUAUAAAUAAAAAGAUAAUAUUAAAUUACUAUUACUAGUAGUUAGAGGGGUAAAAGAGGGAGAAAAAGUCACUCACAGUGGAACUUUCAAAUGAUAGUAGUGGCUAUAGAGGAAGUUGCAGACGACAAUAGUGGCAACGAUAAAAGUUGCGGAUAACGACGUCGUGGGUGGAGGAAGCUUCAAAGGUGUCCGUUGAUGGCGGAGGAAGCUACGAUCCUCUCCCUCGAAGGUGGAAGGAGUUGCACACGGAAGUAACAACGAUGGAAGGAAGUAGCGGACGAAGGCUAAGCCAUCCGACCCGUUCGUCAAUGAUAAAGGAAGCCUCGAUCCGCUAUGUUUGCAACGGAGGCAGCUACAUAAAGCAUUGAAGACUAAGGCAAAAGCUACACUAAGGUUGAUGGAUCAGGGUCACAUAGGGGUGCGGGGGUGGCUUUUACGAGUAAGAAAGUGGCUAGUUGGUUCAAUCGAACCAACUAGCCACUAUUGUACUAAACGAGACUUAAAAGUCUAGUUUGGUUGCUUCAUUUGAAUUGCAUACUCGCCCGAGGCAACCAAUGCCGAGGUUCAAGCGAGCUCUUAGGUGACGCCUCAUUGAAGUGCAUCGCCUGGUUUACCCUUGAGGUGCUCGGGUCUGGCCCCCUCUUAACUGAGCACCUAAGUGAGCACCCAGGCACCUAUUUAAACCACUGUGAAGGACUCCCUCAAAUCACCAUUAUUGGACAGGGCUUAUGGUUGAUGGCUUCAUCAUCAUCGUGCUCGAUGUCCUUGAGCUCCACUGUGGAGGAGCCGACGGAGACGUAGAUAUGGGCCACAAUGAACUUUUACAAGGUGAUAGCGAGGGCUGAGGGGGGAAGGGGAAGAUAACAAUCAAUGAGCAGAAGCUCAUCCUUGUGUCUCCAUCGAGAUGUUGGUGGUGCCAUUCAUGGCAGAUAUAAGGAGUUUAAAGAUAAACAAAGGUAUACAACAUAUGGAGUGAGGAAACCCUUUUCUAAAGCCCAAACCUCAUGGGUGCAGUAACUAUAAUCUCGGAGGUAAGAAAGGAGCGACGAAUGACUUCUCAUAAGCUAGCUUUAUGUGUAUAUAUUCAUGGGUGCCUUAAUAGCAACCUUGAAAGCUAGAAAGGCGAGUAUAGUUUCUUUAAAGUUGACAUUUUGUGUAUAUAUUUAUAUCUCAAUAUGAUAUGUUUAUCAGAUCCACUUUUGAAAUUUCUCCCAUGACAAGGUAUGCUAAUUCACCAUAUGCUAUUAGUGCAUCAAUGUGAUGAUGGUUGUCUGAUCCAAUUUUGAAAUUGCUUCCAUGACAUGAUAUAUUAAUACAUCAUAUGUUGCUGGUGUAUCAGUGUGAUGAUGGUUGUAGCUUAAUCGUUGUGAAUUAUACGUGUCUAAGGCAACUUCUGAAGUAAGUAUAAUUAUGACAUGUAUUUGUGAAGGUUAAAGAAUGUCGAAACUUUUACUUUCACCACUUAUCUGCUGCUCCGUAUCAUAAGACGAAUUAGCCUUGAAAAAGAAUGACUAAGUAUUACCAUACUAUUAUUGGCCAUAAGAUCCUUCAUAAUACGAUGGCUGGGAAUCAGUGAUUUAAAAAGACAUUUGGAUGCUCGCUUAAGUGCUCGAGCAAGGCGAGACGAGACUUAAGCGUCUUGUUUAAGGGCCAGGCAUCGGGCACGUGCCCGAUUGAUAUGCGACGACCGAACCAGACUUAAAAAGUCUCGUUCGAACCAACUAACGCACACAGUUAUAUUAGCAUGCGACCCCGACUCCCAACCCUAUGCAAGCUUCUCUCUCCAUUUUCGCCGUCAAAGAUUUCUCCCUUUGCGUUCGCCAUAGACAAUUUGUCCCUUUGCCUCCGCCAUCGAUAGUUUGUCCUACUGCCUUCGAGUCUUCCUCUGUCACCAAUCGAAUCUCCACAGCUUCUGUUGCUAUCCGCUGCCACUACUACUGUCCACUACCUGCUGUUGUUUGUAACACAACUCUACCGCCACUACUACUAUCUGCGACUCUGUAGCUUCGACUGCUAUUUAUUGCCUCCUAUCGUUUGUGACUUAACUUCUUACCACUGACUUCUCACCACAACUUCUCAUUGUUGGUCUCUUCCCUUCCCUACUGCUAUUAAUAGUAAAUAUACCAUUAACAAUAGAUUAUUAAUUACUGUAUACAAUAAUCUUUAUUUAUUAGAUUAAUAAUAUAUUAUUUAGAUUUUAACAUUACUAAUAUUUAUUUAUUUAAAAUUAUUAUUAAGGUUUCAAGACAAAUGACAAGUGUACAAAGCAAUUCAAUAGAUUCUUCAAUGAAUUCAAAAAAGGAUCCUAUACAAAAAUAUAAUUAUCUAAAGGAUCCUAAUAUAGUUACUUGCAUCUUUUGUGAUAAGACUACUAAAGGUGAUUUUUUUGUGGAAUAGCAUCAAGCUUAGCUCCUGUUGUUAUUAAAAAAAAUGAAACAUAUUUUGAUGAAGAAGAAGGACAAGAGGAAGAGAAUGAAUUGUUUAAAAAUGACAAUGAUAUUGAUUAUGAUGUUGAAUGACUUUGAUGUAAAACUUUAUUGUUUUGAAUUUUGAGUAUGACAUUUUUACUAUUAGGAGAUGGGUAAUAUGACUUGGUACUUUAAAUCAUUUUAAUUUAAUAUCAUAUUUAUUAAUUAUAUUAUAUAUUUUUUAUAUUUUCGUAUUUUAGAGUACCUCGCUUCGCUCGAGUGAGCACCUAGCGCCUUGAGACCUUAGCACCUUUUGGCGCCUAGUACUUUUUAAAUCACUACUAGGAAUACAAUAAGCUCCGCUCUAUGUCUACAUUACAUAGACUCUAGCACAUCUAUUCGAAAUCAUCGACUGGCUUCCCCUUACCCUUCCCUUCCAUGUAUAAACCUAACUAAUACCUCCCCAAGCUCUGAGGGUAAUAUGUGUAAAAUACUACUUUGUCCAUGCACCACCUUAAAACUAAGUAGACGAAACAAUCGACUCCUCGACAUUACAAACAUUAUUGGUAGAGGCAUUACUGUCCAUGUCACUACUGUCUAUGGACCGAAUGGAUGACUAUAAUGGUUGGAUGUCACAACCUCAAUAAAAUUUAUAUACAACCAUCAUAGGGUCCACUUGAUGCAAAAGUUAUAAAUAAUGAGAUUCCUCAACUGACAUCACUCGACCUGCUAUAAAUUUGAUCGUCUUAAAAUCAAUUGAACAAAAGAGACACAGUCUCAAAGCAAUAGUCACAUCACAGGAAUGGUUAGUUUCAAGGUAUUCAAAAUCGAGUAAUGAAAAAAAGGUGAAAAAGAUAAUUCUUUCUUCUGAAUUUUGGGAGGCCAUGAAUGAAAUUAUAAAAGGAGUCGAACCGCUUUACAUGGUCCUCCAUGAGGUUAAUAUAGAGAAGCAUUCGUAGAUGGUCAGUUUUUCUAUAUAUUUAUAUUGAUAUUUUCCUAUAAUAAAUUAAACCAAAAGAGAAGGAUCUUAUCUCUAUUUUUUUGGUUACACCAGUUAAUUCAAUCCAUAUUUCAUAACUAUAAAACUUGGUUAGUUUGCCAACAAAAGAUCAACCAUAUUUCCAACUUAUAUGACUAAACUUUUAGGUGACAUGACUUAUACAUCAUAAUUAUUCUAAGUUUGAACAAACCAUGAACGAACAACUACCUAAUGUCAACUUGAUCUAUAUUUUUAGGGGAUUUUUAGGUCAUUUGCAAUAGCCUUAGAGCUAGUUAAACUGAUCUAAACUUUGAUUUGAUUAUAUAUUUUAAUCAAAAAAUUCAUUAGAAUGUCAUAGAUAAAAUAAUUAGUGUUGGAUCAAUUUAUUGUUAUCCCAAUCUUAAAUGUAAAUUGUGCCACAGCGAAAAGCCAAGAUUCCUAGUAAUCUUGUCCAUAUAAGAAAGUCCAUCUUGUGUAAACUACAUAUAUUAGGUGACCAAAAACAUUAUAAACCUAAAAGGAUAGGUAUAGCUCAAAAGAUAAUCAAGAAAUCAUGAAAAAAAAAACUAUAGUCAUCAUGUAAACAAUAAUAGAGAAAUGAUGAAUGCUUAGUGCUUACAUAAAGCAUAUAUCAGAAAUCACUGAUAUGUUACAUUAGCAUGGUAUUGAACCUACUGAUUUUGUGAAGAUAUGACCAUCCAUAAACGACUUUAAAAACAACUGAGACAUAUUCUGUAAGAUACCAAGAAUAUGACAAAAACUCAAACAAAAGAGAAAGAAACUAUACAAUAUUCUAAAAGAGGAGAUUAUCUACUAGCCCUACUAAAGGAAUAAAACUUUCCUUUCAGCUAGAACACGGGUGAAAGAGAAACAACCAAUCAAGCAAAUAAUUCAUAACAAAAUGCAAGUAUGUGAGAAAUUAAAAAUCAAGGGUGUCAAGAAGAUGAUUGGCAUACCCAAUAACUACUAUUCCACCUGGAAUCAGAGGAUAUAAGAAAUAAACCACUCUAUCAACAUUUUUACAUCAAUUUCAAAGAUCACAUACAACAAAACAAUCAGCAAAAUCAAACAAGAUCAAGCGAUAGGGUUCUAGGAAACUCCUAAAGGUAUCAAUGAACAUGAACUUUAGAUGGUGCAUUAAAUAGAGAAUGUCCAUAGUUUCACAUAUUGGCAAUGUCAAAAACGAUGACAUAGAAAGAAGGUACAUCCUUCAAGAUCUAGGGUUAGAGUGCCACUUGAAGAAACCUUAAUGGACUGUAUAGAUUGAGAGGAAAAAAGGAAGGGAAAAUACUAUAUCCUUCCUUGUUCAAGAGAGUGAAGCCUUCGUUAGCUUAUCCAUCAACUUCUCUGCUGUGAAUUCCCCAAGAUACAAAGGUUAUGUCAAACAUCCUUAUCCUUCAAUUACUAUCUUCAUGUCAAUUUCAUCUUUUUUCCUCUCCCCCUUUUGGACCCGAUGGAUCUCUUUAUGGGUAUUUAAAGUUUCAAUGCCCUGUUAUCAUGGGUAUACAAAGGGCACCAACCCCAAACAAUUAUGAUUUGACAGUACAAUCAUGACUUGCCGACCCAAAAUAAUGAUCAUGUUGGCUGAGGUGCCAUGCACAUCAAUAAAUGAAAAAUAUUAAUGAACAAAAAACUUAGUAACUUAUUUAAAGGUAACUAUUUAAGAAACAUAAAAGUUAUAAAAUUUGGACUCAUUGAUGCUCUUUACAUGUCAUCCUCAUAUAUAAUUUGAAUCAUUUAAGGUUUAGGAUUUAACAAAAAAAAUAAAAUUUAAUCAUAAGAUAAAUAAAGUGAAGCUACUCUUGCCCAAAUAGAACCCAAAAGAUGUUACCUCGCCACUAGAUGCUAGAAAUGCCAUCGGGCAAGUGACUAAUCCAUAAAUAUAGUUCAACUAAGUAAGAACAAUGCUUUUAUUAUUGUUCAUUUAAUAAAAGCCAAAGGAAAAUAGAAGAUAUAACUAAUGAAACAAAUGCUUCACACAUAUCAAUCUUAUUAUUACCACCUCCAGCAAAGAACCAGUUUUCCAUCAGUGAUACACCUGCAUAGCUGAAGCGUUGGUUUGGAGGCACAUCCUGCCAUUUUGGUUUUGACCAUUCCAUCUGCAAUUGUUAAAUUAAAAAAGUAGAUUAUAACACAGAAUUUUAAUUCAUCGUUUUUUUUUGUCAUAGCACAUAGAUAGAAGAGUAGCUCCUUCACUGUCAAAUAUUUUAAAUAAUACCCAUGUAUAUAACAUCAGAAGCUAGUAAAAUGACAAUAAAAAUUAUAUAACAGACCCAUUAAGUCAGUUGAUCGAUUAAAAUGAUUGAUUAACAGAUACAAAUUUAACUUAUCCAAAAAUUACCCAUAUCAAUUGCUAUUGGAUACUUUGAAAAAAGGAAAAGGAAAGAAGACAAAGCAUAACAUCACAUAGUUGAUCCUUCAAAGGAAAAAAAGAAAAAGAGAAACCACUUGGGUCUAUUAAGAUGCAAGCCAACAGUAAUCAUCAACUAGAAUAAGGACCAAUAUAAUUCACUGAAAGCAGAAUUUUAAAUUAGAAACAGGAAAAUUCAAAUGUUUAUUAAAAAAAAUUAAGAUCGCAGGGGCUUAAAAUGUUGAAAAAUAAAUCACCCUAAAUUUAAUAGAAAUUUUCAUCAUAUUGAAGAGAGAAACACUAAAGUAGUGAUUCAACUGCAAAAGAAACUACAUCUAACUGCUUCUGCAUAAACCGAAUUAGCCAAAACUAAGAAUCUUGAACACCAGUGCUUUUUAAUGCUCUCUGCACCAAUUUCUACUAAAAACAUUUCAUGAUAAACAAAGAAAAAAUACAAGAUUUUUUUCACGAAAAACAUCACCAAUGAGUUCUGGUGUCAAGAAUUCAGAGAGGAUCCAAGGAAAAAUAAUCACAAAUCCUAAUAGAUUAUACAUAAAAGGAUAAAUUACCAUCAUCACAAACUUGUAUACAAGAAAGACAAGAUCACAAGCACAAUAGAAUAAAAUAUAAAGCAUGAAGAACUCAGAGAGCAAUCCCAAGAAAGACACAAAACCACAAACCCCAAUCAAAGAAAUCCAAAGGUUUGGAGAGAUCAAUGUAUAAAUACAACACAACACAUGUCAAAACAGCUCCAAUAUCUCCUCCAAGCAGUACACAAUUAAAAGAGAAAUAUAUAAUAACUACAAAUAUAUGAUCUAAACAUCAAGGCAAAUUCCUAGUUUUAAGAAUUCAGAAAGCACCCUCGAGAAGACCCAAAAAAUCUGGGAUGAACAAGACAGCAAUGAAGGGAUCGGUGGCUGGUGGUUGGAGAAGGGAAGGCCCAGUAAGAUAGCAAUGGGUCAGGCAAAAAUAAAACAUCAAAAAAUAUACGAUCUCUCGAUUGCAGGGAGCAAUCUCAAGAAGAACAAAAAUGAUCAUGGAUUCCAAUGCAAUAAACCACAAAAGCAUGAUGGAAAUCAAAUAUUUGCCCCUUGACGAAGAAAAGAAGAACAGACAACUUGGCGAGGACCAGAUUGAGGAGUGGAGGUGGGGGAGGAGGACAAUGGGGUGAGAAAAGAGAAGAAAACUCCAAUUAAACCAUCAGUGCAAGCGUCCAAUAUCAAGAAUCCAAAGAGCCAUUUCAAGAAAGACACGAAAGAUCACAAAGAAUAAUGUAGUAAACCCUAAACCAGGGAUAGAUCCACUUCACUGUCCAUUUUUAUAAUUGUCAAAUUGACAUAUAUAUUAGCUUUCAUUUAUUCCAUGACAAUUAAAAACUGUCUACAAUACAGCCAGAAAAAGAUUCACUGGCCAGGAAGGGUUUCAAAAUACAUAGUUACUGAUUUAAAAGAGAACAAGAGAGUAUGCUUAUAUCCGCUAAAUGUCCAAGAUCUGCGGCAUGAGAUCCCGAUAUAUAAAUAAUCUAAAACCCAGAAAAUGAAACAUUCUAUGUUGCAACCCUGUGAGAUAUUUUUCAUAACUCUGACCAGAGAAUAAUUUACUCAUUGCCGCCGUUUCUUUUCUCUGCAGCAUAACAUUCAAAAUAACCUCAAAAUACAACAAUACCAAUCAUAAGUGAAGCCAAAAAAGACAUACUGCUAUCCGCUCCUUAGCCUCUGCAAGCAUUAUUAGGUCUCUUAUGCUAAUCUGUCUUAGGUCAAUCUCAUCUUCAGGUGUUUGCAGUAAAACUUUGUUCACUAAACAUUUAAAAGAUAAUGAAUUAUCAACUGAAGUUCAUUCAGUUUCUUCCAACAGGUGCAGCAUGAGUUUAUGAUAACAUUAGGUAUCACUGGAAGCUCAUUUACCUUGCAACAAACCUCCAGGUCUUUGGAGUUCUGCUUUGAUUUGCUGACAAGACAAACACUUUGAAACAUACAUUGUAAUCUCCAUCAUGACUUCUCAUAAAUAAAGACUAUGGAGAUCUCUUCUCCUUCGCCUUGUGGCAUGAGGAAACUUCUUUUUAGGUGAAUUCUCUACAACAGAAUCAGGUUUUACAAAGGCUUUCUUAUGCUUCCGAGUGGGUUUUUCAAUGUCAUUUGUCUGCCUCUUUGACUUUCUCUUGGUCCUCUUUGGCUUAGGCAUAUCUUCAUCACUUCGGUUGCCAUCCAUCUGAGAGACAUUAAAGUUGUCAAUACCACGUUCAUCAUUGCUUCCAACUUCAAUUUGGUCAGUACCGCACUUGGCUAUCCUCUUUCUCAGUUCCCUACAUGGUUUAUGAGCAUCAUCAUCUUUAUCAUUUUCUGAAGGUUAGAAGUCUCAGUAAAAUCUGUUUGCAUUAAGGCCAAGUCAUCAGGGAACAAAUGAGUCAAUAUCAGUGUCCACUGAUUUAACAGAAGCAUGAUCCUCUAAGAAGUCCUGUCUUUGCAGUUGAAGGAUGCUUAUCAAAAGAGAGAGUGUCAAUGGCACUAUUACAAACAGCAGAACCAGUGCUUGUGAUGUCUCCUAAUCAAAGUCUGGGCAUCAGAUGAAAUUAACCAGCAGAUUGAACUCUCUGAUUCAACAGAAAUGUAGAGAAAAAAAGAGAAAAUUCAAUAUGGACCAGAAUGCAAAGGUUAUGAUUGAUGAAUGCAAAGGAUUGUCCACAUGUAUAUCGAUCUUCGCUUGUACAGAAGAAGGGUUCGUUAUCUCAGAAAAGGAUCCCAUGGGAGGAGGACCAGUAACGGAAGCAUCAGGAAGCAUAAAAGAAACAGAUUUAGCAGCUCCCUUUUUUGGUUGUGACUUGUUUCUAGGUUGGAACUUGCCUACUUGUCUGACAUCUAGAAAGAAAAAUAAGUUCAUAAAAAUUCAUCGCAAAGCAUUCGUUAAAAGACAAAAGAGAAAAUAAUAGAACAUGUUGGUAAAAAAGAGACUACAAUUGUAUGGAAAAUAGGACUAUGUCCAAGAAAAAAUAUGAAAUUAUCCAACAUGCAUGGGUUGGAUUUAUAUCUAAUUCUCAUAAACAUUGAAUAUGUUGAAAAACUAUCAAUUGCAUCUCUACUUACCAGUGGUGCUAUUGUGCUGAAAAGAAAAUUCAUCAAGUGAUUCAAGGCCAUAAUGCAUUGCCAUCUCCUAAAAUGAAUCCGGUCACACAAAAGAUAAGCUACAAUGUAAACCUGAAACUAUGAAUUGCACUUCAAGGAAAAUAAUUGUACAAUACCACUUCUCGUUGAUUAUCUGGAAAAGCUUGCAAAUCACCAUCCGAUAAUGAGACUUGAAGUCCAUCAUCAGUGGAUUUUAAGGCUGCGAAUUUUUUUGCUAUAAGAAAAGGUUGUUGGGUAGCAUUCAAUUCGGAUGACAAAAUAUAUGAUCCAGAGCUAGGAGUUGCAAGAUUUGUAUCCUCAACAAUUGCCUCCAUACCUAGAGUAGUAGUAUAUGGUAAUAACAUGACAUGUUUAUGGUACAUUGUGUCAAAACCUUCUGUUUACAGCCACCACUCUAAUGAAAAUGUAGUCAAUGGAAAGAGUACAUGAAAAGGAUUCAGGAAAUUAGCAAUGUGUAGAUUGUAGAGAUAGCACACCAAAAUUAUCAUAAUGGAGUUCAUACUGAGGAACAUAAAUGCAACCUGAACAUACGCUAACUUAAUAAUGGGAACUCAACUUCAACAGAAUAGAAAACAUACCUAGUUAAGUUUUUUCUUGAUCGAACAUUAGAACCACCUCGUUUCAGCAUUAUAGAAUUGAUCUUCAGAACUGAUCUUCAUGACAUGAACCUCCCAAGUGAUCAAACAAUUCAUGAACAACUCAGUGUUUUAAUGUAUAGGUUCUAGAUGUUGAGGAAUGCAUUUCAAUAGAAACAGAAAUACCUGUUUCUUCUUCUAUGACAAUCAUGCAAGUAGCAUGAGGCCCAUUCUCCAAUGACAAACACAAGGUUUAACUACAGUUUUACGACCAUAAUCUAGACCUAGCACACAAUAAAUCUCUAACAUAAAUAACAACUAGAGUUUGCAGAUCAAAUGUAUUGGAUAUCCUUCCUGAUUUGGACACCAUGUAACACCGAAGGUUCUAGUUAAGUUGGAUAUCGGUAUGCUUGUAAUAGUGUUCUCAGUUUACCCCGUGGUUAUCUGCAAGUUCUGUCCUAUUAAUCUAAUUAUACACGCUAAAUGUGAACUUAGAUAUAUAACCUUGAUGUUGCUCUUGAAUCUUCAUGUUGUACUCAAUUACAAGAACAAUAAGAGGCUUAAUGAAGAAAUUUUUAGGAGAAACUAAAAAGUAUACAUUAUAAUGGCAUCAGUCAUUAUUAUCCAUCACAAUUUAUAUACGAGAGCUAAAUGAUUCAACAGCACAUCAUACUCGAUGCAAAUAUCUACUCUGGAAAAGUAAGAUAAUUAUAGUUUAAAAUCAUGAUCCAACUCAUAUCCUCUUAAAGAAAAAAAAAAGUGGAUAGAAAGUCUAUGCUAGAAAGUCUACUCUGAAANNNNNNNNNNNNNNNNNNNNNNNNNNNNNNNNNNNNNNNNNNNNNNNNNNNNNNNNNNNNNNNNNNNNNNNNNNNNNNNNNNNNNNNNNNNNNNNNNNNNAUGAAAAUCAUAAGUCAAAUGAUAUGGGACGAUUUUUACUACGACAGGAGAUAAAGAUUUUCAACAUGAAUUUCAUGAUAUAGAUGUAAGGCAUGCUUUCAAUAUGAUCAAUCAAUCUUGUAAUAUUCUCAAGGAUUUUGCAAGGCAUUUUGCAAGGCAUAUAAGACAUUCAUACAAGCUUUCGCAAUUCAUAUAAGUCAUGCUUUCGCAAUUUCAUGAUAUAGAUGUAAGGCAUGCUUUCAAUAUGAUCAAUCAAUCUUGUAAUAUUGUUAAGGAUUUUGCAAGGCAUAUAAGACAUUCAUACAAGCUUUCGCAAUUCAUAUAAGUCAUGCUAUCAAAAUGGUACAAGUCAUCACUUUUCUCCCCCUUUGUCAUCAACAAAAACCCCUUUGUCAUCAACAAAAAAGGGAAUGAGACUUGAAGCACAUAAUUUGUAAUUAUAACAUUGAUCAUACAAAAAUUUUAUCAUCCAAAAGUAUGCUAAAAUAUUUACGCAGAGUUCAUCAUAAAGGAAAAUUCAACAUUCAUUCAUUGUAUCAAAUCUCUUCUUUCUAUAAAUAACAAAAAUUGUAGGUGUACAAGGAAGAGAUUAUGAGUAAACAAAAAUUCAAGUAGUAAGAUCAUAAUUCGAAUACAAACUCAUUCAAAUUCAAAUUGUCAACUUGAAACUCAUAAUUAAGCCAUCAAAAUCAAUUUUGAGAUUCACAAAAUAUCAUAAAAUCAUUAAUCUUAAUCAAAUGGGAGCGGUGUAUGACUCAAGAUAGGAUAAGAUAAUUUAACAUGCCAUUUAGAAUCAAAAGAGAAGGAUUGGAUUCACCGAGGAACGGAGAGAGGAUGAAAAACUUUACGGAAAAUCCAUUCAAACAAGUUUAUUCUUAGGGAUAAUUUAACAUACCUAAUUCCCUUCUAAUGAAUUCAAAUUGGUCUUCAUUCAAAGCUUUUGUAAAUAUAUAUGCUAAUUGAUGCUUUGUGUCAAUGAAUUCUAGAACAACAUCAUUGUUAAGGACAUGAUCGCGUAUGAAAUGAUGCCUAACAUCGAUGUGCUUAGUUCUAGAGUGCUGAAUUGGAUUUUUAGUAAGACAUAUGACACUAGUAUUAUCACAUUUUAUGGGAAUAUUUUUAAAGUGAAUUUCAUAGUCUUCUAAUGUAUUUUUCAUCCAAACAACUUGUGCAUAGCAUGCACUUGCAGCAAUGUACUCGGCUUCCGCCGUAGAUAGUGCAACAGAAUUUUAUUUUUUGGAAGUCUAAGAAACAAGUGCAUGUCCUAAAAAUUGGCAUGUUCUGGAUGUACUUUUUCUAUCUAUCCUGCAUCCGCCAAAAUCGACAUCUGCAUAAGUUAUUAAAUCGAAUUUUUCAGAUUUUGGAUACCACAGUCCUAGAUUUGAAGUUCCAUUAAGAUACCUAAAUAUUCUUUUAAGCAAUUAUAGUAAUUAAAACAGAGGAAAUAAAACAUCACGAGCAAAUUCGCGACUUUCAAAUGAGGAAUAUCUACCACCAACCUCGAAGUGUCGAUCUACCGCCAAGUCGUCGUCCCUGUCAUAUGCCAUCAAGCAAGAGAUCGCUCCGAACACUGCCCCCUCGUAGGGAGUAGCAUUAUCCUAAAACAACAGAAGGUAAACAACGUCGAGAGGAACAAAGGAAACAAAAGUGUUCGGCAAAGACUCAAGCGGACUAGGGAGUCGGAGGCGGCACCGAGGAGACGGGAGGAUUCGGCGGGGUCCUUGCCAGCGAGAAAGUGGGCUGAAAGGGCGUUGGCGAGGACGCAGGAGGGGUCGUGGCGGGCGGCACGGAGGAUGACCGCUCGGUCGCGACCGUAGGCGAGCACUUGGUCGUAGUAGGCAUCGAUGGCGGCGAUGCAGGCGUCGGAGGCUGUCCGUACUGGGUAUCCCCACCGGUCGCUUCGAGUCGUCGCAUCAAUUCCUCCGUCCAUGUCUCUCUCUCUCUCUCUCUCUCCCCCGAG
rnacentral:lncRNA from 1 species